rnacentral:lncRNA from 1 species
GGAGGAGAUGACGGCGGUGAAGGGGGUGAAGGGGGUGAAUUCGGAGGGGCCGGCCGGGCGCGGGGGCUGCUGCUUGGGGGCGGGCCUGGGGUUAGGGUUAGGGUUUGAGGGGCGGGAGGAGGAGGUGGAGGCGGAGGGGGGAGGGCCGGAGCCGAGGACGUGGGAGGGGCCCUUGAAGGACGGGGCGGAGGAGGAGGUGACCUUCUUCAUGAGAUCCUUCAUCUUGUCCUUCAUCAUGGAGGCCGGCGGCGACGAGGUGUAGGCGGCGGAGGAGGAGGAGGAAGAAGAUUGGCGUGGACGGGGAGUAGGCUUGGUGGUGGUUGUCUUGUCUCCGCGGGGUUCGUUCGAGGGGAAGAAGCAACGCGAGGGGGGCGAAUUGAUAAAGAAGGAAGAGCUACGGAAGUACGGAGGUGGAGAUCCAGCUGGGAAAUGAAGCCGGGCAUCCGGCAAUGGUACUAGUAUGGUACUUCGCUGCCAAGGCAUCUUCGCCGAGUGGGCCGGGCCGCAGAGGGCCAACCACCAUGGCCCAUCGGGGCGGCUAUACUCGUGGGUACCCAUGCAGCCUGAGUGGGGAAAUGGCAGCCGACCAAGGGUGCUCCUCUCCCUGAAAAAAAAAAAACCAAGGGUGCUCCUAUGCACCACCUUCAGCGAAUGGAAACUGGCGCUCACAGCAGUUACACUAGUAUAAUUCUCAAAAAAAAAAAAACAGUUACACUAAUAUACUCCUAUGUUUUAGGCUAACCACCAGACCUACUUAGGGCAUGUCCAAUGCAAGGCGCCUAUUUGGGUGCUUGAGCAAUAAUAAAAACAUAGAUUUUAUACUUAGCGCCUGCCUGGAGUCUUCGCGUACAACGCCUGCACGUAAGCACCUGCCCCCUCGUCAACGCAACUUGUGUGGAGAAAAGAUCGGAGCGCUCGGCGCAUGGACUGGCAUCGGCGCCACAUAUUUUCCUACGAUCGACUGGGAUUCUGGAAUAACCGCAAGGAAAUCAAACCUGACGUCAUUUCUUAGCGCCUGCAUUGGACAUGUCCUUAGCGCUAGUGAUUGAAAUCAUCGCGAGUAUCAUAAGAACGAUUGCAGACGCGCUAUUUAUUGCACAGAAUACUGUAUGGUUUACUUUAGAGCUUAGAUUUUCGAAUUUCUUGAAUACAGUUUGGAAAACGUGAUUUUUUUUGGAAAAACGUGAACAACAUUUGAAAGUUCUCAGAUUUCAAAAAAAGUUCACAAACAUGUACAAAAAGUUCGUCUAUUAAAAAAAAGUUCACAAAAUCAAAAGAAGUUCAUGUAUUCAAAAAAAACGUUCAUGAAUAUGAAAAAAGGUUCGUCGAAUUUGAAAAAAAAUCAUCGAUUUUGAAAAAAAAUUCAUCAAUUUUGAAAAGAGUUCAUCGCACAUGAAAACUAGUUCAUCGAAUUUGACAAAAGGUUCAUGGAUCUUGAAAAAAGUGCAUUGAUUUUUUUUAAGUUCAUAAAAGUUGAAGGAAAGUUCGUCGAUUUUGGAAAAAGUUCAUAAAAUUUGAAAUUUAGUUCAUUGAAUCUGAAAAACAAAUACAUAAAUUUUGAAGAAAAAAUUCACGAAUUUGGAAACAGCUCAUCGAGCAGAGGAAAAAAGGAAAAGGAAAAAAAAGAAAAAAGGGAAAUGAAAGAGAAGAAGAAAGUAGUAGAAAAGAGAUGGAAGUGGACACGUGAAGAUUGCUGGCGCAGUGGUUAGUGCAACCUAGCUCGAAGCAGGAGGUCUCCGGUUCGAGUUGCCAGUGCGCACGCCCAUAGUUUUUCUUCUCUUUGAAAAACAAAGAAAGCAAAGUCAGACGGGCUGGCCAAGCACGAACGGUGUAGGCGUCCAUUUGCGAAAACGCCUGUAAUGGGCGCCUUAAGCGUCGAAUAGGGUUUGCCUCGACUAAGGCGUUAGGAUUCCCGGUCAAAAAAACAAGGCGUCAGGAUUCAGGGUUAACAGUCGCCUCCAUUCCCUAAAAAAAAUAUAGCCACCUCCAAUCUUUUCUCCGUCUCGUUGGUGGCCUCCAACGUGCAACCCAAACAUCAGCAGAGUAGGCGCCGCUCGACCUCCAUCGCUUGCGCAGGAAGAUGCUUCACUCAAGUUGUCUGCAUCAACCCAAUCCAGUCGACAUACGGAUCCCGAUUUCUCUACACAACUUGUAGCAACAAUGAGAAAGGGUAAGCUACACUCGUGCACACCCGUCCCUUAUGCCAGUGGCACCAAAUGCCCAGAUGUUGUUAACAUGAUGAAGAAGGUCACCAAUGCGAGUAAGUUAGCAAAUGAGGUCACAAAUGUAUAUUUCACGUGUAUUAUCUCAGAUAGCACCCACCGUGAUGGCGCCAUAUACACACAUAGGGGUUUGAAGGAAGAUUGGGAUAUCGAAGACCGCAGCGAGACUCAGUUGGAGCCGAUGAUGUUCUCCAAGGCAACUGAAUGUUCGAAUUUUGGAAGAAACAUGUUGCAAUGUUUCUCAUUGGGGUUGGCUGAGUGUUCCACCAACAAUAACCACAUUCAAUUGUAUGGGUGCAUAGCAACGCGGAAUGAUGGGAUUGCAUGGUUAACUAUGUUUUGAAUCGCAGCAUGGAUGACCCCAUAAUCGCACAUAAGCGUUCUCUCAUCCAAAUGAUUGGCCCUAAGAGAGGCAUUGAAAUGGCUCACCCUGUAUUAAUCGAGUUCGAUAUGAGGAUCAAGAAUGGAGGGAAAGAGGAAGAUGAUCUGCAGUUGAUAGAUGGGGCAAUAAAUUGCAACCUCUAUAGACCAAGGAAACCAAUCAUACAUUGCAUUAAGGGCGAUUUGUGGUGCCGUUGACAUAUCUUUAGCCUAUGUUGAGUACGUUGUGGAGNNNNNNNNNNCAACGAUAGAGGUUGUUAUAUGAGAAAUGCAUCAUGGCUUCGGUUUAUCUUUGUGAUCCUUUGUUUAUGUUUGGGAGGCCUAUGAAGAGAUUCAGCUUUUCCAUGGCACCAUUGAUCAGUCGUGUGGCUUCAGAAGGUUUGUGCUUGCUAUCUCGUUAGGUGACGUGAUGAUAUUGAAGCUCAAGUUAGGUAACAGUGGUGUUGAAAUUCGUCGUUCUUUUAAAGUUAAGCCACAUGGAUGUUCUAGUCGGCAGAUAAAACAUGAGCUCGCAAACAUCUCGGUGAAGGUGACUUUGUCCACUAUUUUGAACGUGGCGGAAAUUUUGCUUCCUGGGUUCAUGGUACUGUUAAUCAGUCACGUGGCAUCAUAAGAUAUAUGGCUUGAUGUCACGACGAGCACUGCUGCUAUUGAAGUUUGGCAAUAACAAAAUGUUUAGCGUUGUGGUCCAUCAAACUAAGCUAUAUGGAUGUGCUAGUCGAAAGACAAAUCUCGAGCUCGCUUCUGUCACGGUGGAGGUAACUUGUUGUGUUAUUUGAACUCCCCCUAUAUUUCUCCACUUAGUCCUUAAUUAUGUUAUUUGAUACAUGCUACUUCUUGAGCUUGCGUUGGUUUUUUCCUUGAAGAGGAAAGGGUGAUGCAGCAAAGUAGAGAUAAGUAUUUUUCCUCAGUUUGAGAACCAAGGUAUCAAUCCAGUAGGAGACAACGCACGAAUCACCAAAUACCUGCACAAACAAUCAAACAACUUGCCAACACGAUAAAGGGGUUGUNNNNNNNNNNNNNNNNNNNNNNNNNNNNNNNNNNNNNNNNNNNNNNNNNNNNNNNNNNNNNNNNNNNNNNNNNNNNNNNNNNNNNNNNNNNAAUCCCUUCACGAUUACUUGCAAAAGUGAGAUCUGAUAAAGAUAGAUAAACGAUAAAGUAAAUAUUUUUUGGUAUUUUUGGUUUAUAGAUCGGAAAGUAAAAGAUUGCAAAAUAGUAGAUCGGAAGCUAAUAUGAUGGAAAAUAGACCUGGGGGCCAUAGGUUUCACUAGAGACUUCUCUCAAGAUAGCAAAUAAUACGGUGGGUUAACAAAUUACUGUCAAGAAAUUGAUAGAAAAGCGCAAAGUUAUGACGAUGUCUAAGGCAAUGAUCAUGAAUAUAGGCAUCACGUCUGUAUCAAGUAGACCGAAAUGAUUCUGCAUCUACUACUAUUACUCCACACAUCGAUCGCUAUCCAACAUGCAUCUAGAGUAUUAAGUUCAUAAAGAACGGAGUAACGCAUUAAGUAAGAUGACAUGAUGUAGAGGAAUUAACUCAAGUAAUAUGAUGAAAACCCCAUCUUUUUAUCCUCGAUGGCAACAAUACAAUACAUGCCUUGCUGCCCCUACUGUCAUUGGGAAAGGACAUCGCCAGAUUGAACCCAAAGCUAAGCACUUCUCCAUUGCAAGAAAAACCAAUCUAGUUGGCCAAACCAAACCGAUAGUUUGAAGAUAAUUACAAAGAUAUCAAAAAAUGCAUAAAAUAAUUCAGAGAAGAUUCAAAUAAUAUUCAUAGAUAAGUUGAUCAUAAAUCCACAAUUCAUCGGAUCUCGGCAAACACACCACAAAAAAGUAUUACAUCGAAUAGAUCUCCAAGAACAUCAAGGAGAACAUGGUAUUGAGAAUCAAAGAGAGAGAAGAAGCCAUCUAGCUACUAGCUAUGGACCCGUAGGUCUGUGGUAAACUACUCACGCUUCAUCAGAAGGGAAAUAGAGUUGAUGUAGAAGCCCUCUAUGAUUGAAUCCCCCUCCAGUAGGGUGUCGGAGAAGGUCCCUAGAUGGGAUCUCACGGGUACAGAAGGUUGCGGCGGCGGAGAAGUGUUUUCGUGGAUGCUUCUGGUGGUUUGGGGAUAUAUGGGAAUAUAUAAGCGAAAGAAUUAGGUAAGGAGGGUCACGGGGGGGGGGCACAAGGGUGGGGGCGCGCCCUCCCUCCUUGUGGCCGCCUCGUGGCUCCUCCGACUUCAUCUCCAAGUCUCCUGGUUGUUUUCUGCUCCAAUAAAAAUUGAAGGUUUCAUUCCGUUUGGACUCCGUUUGGUAUUCCUUUUCUACGAAACUCAAAAACAAGGAAAGAACAAGAACUGGCACUAGGCUCUAGGUUAAAAGGUUAGUCCCAAAAAUAAUAUAAAAUAUCAUAUUAAUGCAUAUAAAAUAUCCAAAAAGAUAAUAUAAUAGCAUGGAACAAUAAAAAAUUAUAGAUACGUUGGAGAUGUAUCAAGCAUCCCCAAGCUUAAUUCAUGCUCGUCCUCAAGUAGGUAAAUGAUAAAAACAGAAUUUUUGAUGUGGAAUGCUACCUAACAUAUUUAUCCAUGUAAUUUUCUUUAUUAUGGCAUGAAUGUUAAGAUCCAUAAGAUUCAAAAGAAAAGUUUAAUAUUGACAUAAAACAAUAAUACUUCAAGCAUGCUAACAAGGCAAUUAUGUCUUCUCAAAAUAACAUGGCCAAAGAAAGCUUAUCCCUCCAAAAUCAUAUAGUCCGGCUAUGCUCCAUCUUCAUCAUACAAAAUAUUAAAAUCAUGCACAACCCCGAUGACAAGCCAAGCAAUUGUUUCAUACUUUUGAUGUUCUUGAAGGUAUAUCUUUAGAUCUUGCAAUCGAAUCUUUUAGUUUCUUGUUUUAUCACUAGUUUAGUCUAUAAAAGAAAACAAAAAAAUGGAAUUGAGGGUGCCUCAUAUGCUUCAUCUUUUUAAUAUCAUUCAUGAAAAUAAGGAUUCCAAUAAUUGUGCCAAAAUGUUAGAAGAAGAAUGCAUUAAAAUGUUUGGCACUAAAUCUUUGAAUGAUGAGCAUGGUUGCAAUGUUGUUAGUACGAGCUCUUUGAAUAUCCAUAGUACUAAUGAUGAUUGCACUAGUCAUGAUGAAAAUGUCUCUUAUAAGCAUGUCAAUUUUUGUGGAGUGCAUAGAGUUUGCAAGUACACACCAAAUAGGGAAGAUAGAUUUUGCAAGAGGCAUAAGUAUUUAGAAACCAAAUGGUUGCAAGAAAGGCUAGAUGUUUGUGCUAAAAAUUUAAAUUUUCUUAAUCAUCCUUGUGAACUUUGGAAUGAACAUGGUCAUUUAAAUAUCCAAUGCAAAUUGUUUCAUGAUUGUAUCGUGUCCAAGAAUUGUGAUGACUUGAUUUCCCUUGCACAUCAUAAUGAACUUAGUUUGCUUUUGGGUUAUGAAGAAAUGAAACGUAUAACUAAGGAUAUGCCAAAAUUUGUCCUUGAUAAAGUUCUUGAUUUUGAUAUAGAAGAAAUUUUAAUGUAUUGUGCGUUAAAUUGCAUUGAAAAUCCUUAUAUUGCCAAUUACAUAAAGAAAAUAAAACAAAUAGAAGAUGAAGAGAAUACUAAUGAAAGGGAAGAGACUUCCCAAUAUCCUCCUAUUAUUUCUUAUGAUGAAUCAGGUAACGAGGAGGAGCUUUCUAUUCAACCAAUCUCAUUAAUAAGGAGCUCAAAAAAGAGGAUUAAACCCACACAUGAUGUGAAGAAGAAAAAGAAAAGACGGAGAAGCAAAGGUAGAAAGGUAUCCCUCCCAAAUGAUGUUGCUCCUAUUGCUUGUGAUGAUGAUAAUUGAUAUACUAUUGGUGCUACCCAUAUUAUUAAUGAUGAGAGUGAUUAUGCUUAUGAUAUGAAAAGGUCCAAGCUUAGGGAUGCUAUGUUUGAUGAGAGUGACAUGUUUGAGAAUAUAUUUGCUGUAAUUAAUGUUUGUCCCAAGCUUGGGGAUGCUAUGUUUAAUGAAGAUGAUAUUUUUAGCCUCCCAAGUUUUGAUGAGCAAAUUUAUUAUGAUGAUAGCAUGCCUCCUAUUUAUGAUGAUUAGUGUGAUGACACUUAUGACAUAAAAAGUAGUAAUGAUUAUAUUUAUAAAACUUGUCAUGAUUAUGAUUAUCCUUUUUCUCAACAUUACUCUUUUAAUGUGGAAACAAUUUAUAGUAUUCGAGUCUCUUAUGAUACUCCCACUAUUCCGAAUGAGAAGAAUUUUGCUUAUGUGGAGAGUAAUAAAAUUUCUAUGAUUGUAGAUCAUGAAAAGAAUGCUUUAGGUGAUGGUUAUAUUGUUGAAAUUAUUCAUAAUGCUACUGAAAAUUAUUAUGUGGGAGGAAUAUAUGCUUGUAGGAAUUGCAAUAAUACCAAGUUUCCUCUCUAUGUGCUUAAAAUCUUGAAGUUAUGCUUGUUUUGCUUUCCUAUGCUAGUUGAUUCGUGUUCCCAUAAAUUGUUUGCUCACAAAAUCCCUAUGCAUAGGAAGUGGAUUAAACUUAAAUGUCGGGGGUUGGGUACGACAUAUGCCAAAGGAUGGCUUAUCAUGGUGGGAGGGAGUAGAACGUCGCCGGUGCCCGGAAGCGGGAUCAGGCGAAGACAUAUCACUUUAGUCGGAUCGGAUUCGAUGAAAAGGGUCCUUAUGAAGGGUAAAUAGCAAUUGACAUAUCACGUUGUGGUUUUUGCGUAGGUAAGAAACGUUCUUGCUAGAAACCCAUAGCAGCCACGUAAAAUAUGCAAACAACAAUUAGAGGACGUCUAACUUGUUUUUGCAGGGUAUGCUAUGUGAUGUGAUAUGGCCAAAAAGAAUGUGAUGAAUGAUAUGUGAUGUAUGAGAUUGAUCAUGUUCUUGUAAUAGGAAUCAAGACUUGCAUGUCGAUGAGUAGGACAACCGGUAGGAGCCAUAGGCGUUGUCUUAAUUUAUUGUAUGACCUACGUGUCAUUGAACAACGCCAUGUAAUUACUUUACUUUAUUGCUAACCGGUAGCCAUAGUAGUAGAAGUAAUAGUUGGCGAGACAACUUCAUGAAGACACGAUGAUGGAGAUCAUGAUGAUGGAGAUCAUGGUGUCAUGCCGGUGACGAUGAUGAUCAUGGAGCCCCGAAGAUGGAGAUCAAAAGGAGCAAAAUGAUAUAGGCCAUAUCAUGUCACUAUUUCAUUGCAUGUGAUGUUUAUCAUGUUUGUGCAUCUUAUUUGCUUAGAACGACGGUAGUAAAUAAGAUGAUCCCUCACUAAAAUUUCAAGAAAGUGUUCCCCCUAACUGUGCACCGUUGCGAAAGUUCGUCGUUUCGAAGCACCACGUGAUGAUCGGGUGUGAUAGAUUCUAACGUCCACAUACAACGGGUGUAAGCCAGAUUUACACACGUGAAACACUUAGGUUGACUUGACGAGCCUACCAUGUACAGACAUGGCCUCGGAACACAAGAGACCGAAAGGUCGAGCAUGAGUCGUAUGGUAGAUACGAUCAACAUGAAGAUGUUCACCGAUAAUGACUAGUCCGUCUCACGUGAUGAUCGGACACGGCCUAGUUGACUCGGAUCAUGUAAUCACUUAGAUGACUAGAGGGAUGUCUAUCUGAAUGGGAGUUCAUUAGAUGAACUUAAUUAUCCUGAACAUAGUCAAAAGCCCUUUGCAAAUUAUGUUAGCGCUCGCGCUUUAGUUCUACAGUUUUAGAUAUGUUCCUAGAGAAAAUAUAGUUGAAAGUUGACAGUAGCGAUUAUGCGGAAAGUAGAAAGCUUAUGUCCUUAAUGCACCGCUCAGUGUGCUGGACCUCGAACGUGGUCUGUGGAUGUUGCGAACAUCUGACAUACAUGUUUUGAUGACUACAUGAUAGUUCGGUAUUGUUAAAUGGUUUAGAAUUGAGGCACCGAAGACAUUUUGAAAUGUCGCAGAACAUAUGAGAUGUUUCGAGGGCUGAAAUUGGGAUUUCAGGCUCGUGCCCACGUCAAGAGGUAUAAAACCUCCGACGAUUUUCUUAGCCUGCAAACUAAGGGAGAAAAGCUCAAUCGUUGAGCUUAUACUCAGAUUGUCUGGGUACGACAAUCACUUGAAUCGAGUGGGAGUUGAUCGUCCAGAUGAGAUAGUGAUGUUUCUCCAAAGUCAUUGCCACCAAGCUGCUAGAGCUUCGUGAUGAACUAUAACAUAUCAGGGAUAGAUAUGAUGAUCCUUGAGAUAUUCGCGAUGUUUGACACCGCGAAAGUAGAAAUCAAGAAGUAGCAUCAAUUGUUGAUGGUUGGUAAAACCACUAGUUUCAAAAAGGGCAAGGGCAAGAAGGGAUACUUCAUGAAACGGCAAAACAAUUGCUACUCUAGUGAAAACCCAAGGUUGAACCCAAACCCGAGACUAAGUGCUUCUGUAAAGAGAGGAACGGACACUAAAGCAGAACCACCCUAGAUACUUAGUAGAUAAGAAGGCAGGCAAGGUCGACGGAAGUAUAUUGGAUAUACAUUAUGUUAAUGUGUACUUUACUAGUACUCCUAGUAGCACCAGGGUAUUAGAUACCGGUUCGGUUGCUAAGUGUUAGUAACUCGAAAUAAAAGCUACGGAAUAAACGGAGACUAGCUAAAGGUGAGCUGACGAUAUGUGUUGGAAGUGUUUCCAAGGUUGAUGUGAUCAAGCAUCGCACGCUCCCUCUACCAUCGAGAUUUGGUGUUUGUGUUGAGCAUAGACAUGAUUGGAUUAUGUCUAUCGCAAUACAGUUAUUCAUUUAAGGAGAAUAAUGGUUACUCUGUUUAUUUGAAUAAUACCUUCAAUGGUCUUGCACCUAAAAAAAUGGUUUAUUGAAUCUCGAUCGUAGUGAUACACAUUUUCAUGCCAAAAGAUAUAAUAUAGUAAUGAUAGUACCACUUACUUGUGGCACUGCCAUGUAAGUCAUAUUGGUGUAAAACACAUGAAGAAGCUCCAUGUUGAUGGAUCUUUGGACUCACUCGUUUUUGAAAAGUUUGAGACAUGCGAACCAUGUCUAAUGGUGUAUACGCAUGAAGAAACUCCAUGCAGAUGGAUUGUUUGGACUCACUUGAUUUUGAAUCACUUGAGAUAUGCAAAUCAUACCACAUGGGCAAGAUGACUGAAAAGCCUCAUUUUUCAGUAAGAUGGAACAAGAUAGCAACUUGUUGGAAGUAACACAUUUUGAUGUGUGCAGUCCAAUGAGUGCUGAGGCAUGCAGUGAAUAUCGUUAUGUUCCUACUUCACAAAUGAUUCGAGUAGAUGUUGAGUAUAUUUGCUUGAUGAAACACAAGUAUGAAUUAUUGAAUGGUUCAAGUAAUUUCAGAGUGAAGUUGGAGAUCAUUGUGACAAGAGGAUAAAAUGUCUAUGAUAUGAUCAUAGAGAUGAGUAUCUGAGUUACGAGCUUUGGCACGCAAUUAAGACAUUGUGGAAAUUAUUUCACAAUUAAUACCGCCUGGAACACCAUAGUGUGAUGGUGUGGCCAAACAUCAUAGUUACACCCUAUUGGAUAUGGUGCGUACCAUGAUGUCUCUUAUCGAAUUACCACUAUCGUUCAUGGGUUAGGCAUUAGAGACAACCGCACUCACUUUAAUAGGGCACCACCUAAUUCCGUUGAGACGACACCAUUUGAACUAUGGUUUGGAGAAACCUAAGUUGUCGUUUCUUGAAAGUUUGGGGCAGCGACGCUUAUGUGAAAAAGUUUCAGGUUGAUAAGCUCGAACCCAAAGCGGAUAAAAUGCAUCUUCAUAGGACACCCAAAACAGUUGGGUAUACCUCCUAUUUCAGAUCCGGAAGCAAAAGGAUUGUUCCUUGAAUCGGGUCCUUUCUCGAGGAAAAGUUUCUCUUGAAAGAAUUGAGUGGGAGGAUGGUGGAGACUUGAUGAGGUUGUUGAACCAUCACUUCAACUAGUGUGUAGCAGGGCACAGGAAGUUGUUCCUGUGGCACCUACACCAAUUGAAGUGGAAGCUGAUGAUAGUGAUCGUAAUGCUUCGGAUCAAGUCACUGCCAAACCUCGUAGGAUGACAAGGACAGGUACUGCUUCAGAGUGGCACGGUAAUCCUGUCUUGGAGGUCAUGUUGCUAGACAACAAUGAACCUACGAGCUAUGGAGAAGCGAUGGUGGGCCCGGAUACUGACAAAUGGCUUGAGGCCAUAAAAUCCGAGAGAGGAUCCAUGACUUUGGAAGAAAUACUUGAUGGUCGUAAGGCCAUUGGGUACAGAUGGAUUUUAAAAGGAAGACGGACAAUGAUGGUAAGUAUCGCCAUUAAGAAAGCUCGACUUGUCGUUAAGAUGUUUUCCAACAAGUUCAAGGAGUUGACUACGAUGAGACUUUCUCACUCGUAGCGAUGCAAAGAGUCUAUUGGAAUUAUAUUAGCAAUUACUGCAUGAUUUAUGAAAUCUUGCAGAUAGGAUGUCAAAACAUUGUUUCCUCGAUGAUAUCCAUGAGGAAAGGUUGUAUGUGAUACAACCAGAAGGUUUUGUCAAUCCUGAAGAACGCUAACAAAUAUGCAAAGCUCCAGCAAUCCUUCUAAGGACUGGAGUAAGCAUCUCGGAGUUGGAAUGUACGCUUUGAUGAGAUGAUCAAAUAUUUUGGGUUUAUACAAAGUUUAUGAGAAACUUGUAUUUCCAAAGAAGUGAGUGGGAGCACUAUAGAAUUUCUGAUGAGUAUAUGUUGUUGACAUAUUGUUAAUCAGAAAUGAUGUAGAAUUUCUGGAAAGCAUACAGGGUUAUUUGAAAAGUGUUUUUCAAUAGAAAACCCGGAAUAAGCUGCUUGAACAUUGAGCAUCAAGAUCUAUGAGGAUAGAUCAAAAGCGCUAAAUGGUACUUUCAAAUGAGCACAUACCUUGACAUGAUCUUGAAGGUGUUCAAGAUGGAUCAGUCAAAGAAGGAGUUCUUGCCUGAGUUGUAAGGUAUGAAGUUAAGAGUUAAAGCUCGACCACGGCAGAAGAGAGAGAAAGGACGAAGGUCGUCCCCUAUGCUUCAGACGUAGGCUCUAUAGUAUGCUAUGCUGUGUACCGCACCGGAAGUGUGCCUUGCCAUGAGUCAGUCAAGGGGUACAAGAAUGAUCCAGGAAUGGAUCAUUGGACAGCGGUCAAAAUUGUCCUUGGAGUAAAUAAAGGACAUGUUUCUCGAUUAUGGAGGUGAUAAAGAGUUCAACGUAAAGGGUUACGUCAAUGCAAGAUUUAACACCUGUCUGAAUGACUCUGAGUAGCAAACCGGAUACGUAUAGCGGAGCAACCAUUUGGAAUAGCUCCAGGUGGAGCGUGGAAGCAGCAUUUACAAUAUGACAUAGAGAAUUGCGAAAUACAUACGGAUCUGAAUGUUGCAGACCCGUUGACUAAAACCUCUCUCACAAGAAAAACAUGAUCAAACCCCAGAACUCAUUGAGUCUUAAUCACAUGUUGAUGUGAACUAGUUUAGUAACACUAGUAAACUCUUUGGAUGUUGGUCACAUGGUGAUGUGACCUGUCAAUGUUAAUCACAUGGCGAUGUGAACUAGAUUAUUGACUCUAGUGCAAGUGGGAGACUGUUGGAAAUAUGCUCUAGAGGCAAUAAUAAAUUAGUUAUUAUUAUUAUAUUUCCUUGUUCAUGAUAAUCGUUUAUUAUCCAUGCUAUAAUUGUAUUGAUAGGAAACUCAGAUACAUGUGUGGGUACAUAGACAACACCAAGUCCCUAGUAAGCCUCUAGAUGACUAGCUCGUUGAUCAAUAGAUGGUUACGGUUUCCUGACCAUGGACAUUGGAUGUCGUUGAUAACGGGAUCACAUCAUUAGGAGAAUGAUGUGAUGGACAAGACCCAAUCCUAAGCCUAGCACAAAGAUCGUGUAGUUCGUAUGCUAAAGCUUUUUUAAUGUCAAGUAUCAUUUCCUUAGACCAUGAGAUUGUGCAACUCCCGGAUAUCGUAGGAAUGCUUUGGGUGUACCAAACGUCACAAUGUAACUGGGUGGCUAUAAAGGUGCACUACAGGUAUCUCCGAAAGUGUCUGUUGGGUUGGCACGAAUCGAGACUGGGAUUUGUCACUCCGGUUGAUGGAAAGGUAUCUCUGGGCCCACUCGGUAGGACAUCAUCAUAAUGUGCACAAUGUGCCCAAGGGGUUGAUCACGGGAUGAUGUGUUACGGAACGAGUAAAGAGACUUGCCGGUAACGAGGUUGAACAAGGUAUCGGCAUACCGACAAUCGAAUCUCGGGCAAGUACAAUACCGCUAGACAAAGGGAAUUGUAUGCGGGAUUGCUUAAAUCCUUGACAUCGUGGUUCAUCCGAUGAGAUCAUCAUGGAAAAUGUGGGAGCCAACAUGGGUAUCCAGAUCCCGCUGUUGGUUAUUGGCCAGAGAGCUGUCUCGGUCAUGUCUGCAUGAUUCCCGAACCCGUAGGGUCUACACACUUAAGGUUCAGUGACGCUAGAGUUGUUAUGGGAAUUUGUGUGUAGUUACCGAAUGUUGUUUGGAGUCCUGGAUGAGAUCCCGGACGUCACGAGGAGUUCCGGAAUGGUCCGGAGGUAAAGAUUUAUAUAUGGGAAGUCCUAUUUUGGCCACCGGAAAAUGUUCGGGAUUUUUCGGUAUUGUACCGGGAAGGUUCUAGAAGGUUCCGGAGUGGGGCCCACCAGCAUGGGGGAACCCACAUAAACGUGGGUAGUUGGGGCAAGGCCCCACACCCUUGGUCAAGGCGCACCAAGAUCCCCCCUUAGAAGGAAUAAGAUCAUAUCCCGAAGGGAUAAGAUCAAGAUCCCUAAAAAGGGGGGGGGUAACAAUCGGUGGGGAAGGAAAUGAUGGGAUUUCUUUCCUCCCACCUUUGCCAACGCCCCAAUUGACUUGGAGGGCAAGAAACCAGCCCCUUCCACCCCUAUAUAUAGUGGGGAGGCGCAUGGGAGCUUCAUGCUUGCCCCUGGCGCAGCCCUCUCCCACCCCUAGUAGUAGUGCUUGGCGAAGCCCUGCCGGAGAACUGCAAGCUCCACCACCACGCCGUCGUGCUGCCGGAGCUCUCCCUCAACUUAUCCUCUCCCCUUGCUGGAUAAAGAAGGAGGAGACGUCCCCGGGUUGUACGUGUGUUGAACGCGGAGGUGCCGUCCGUUUGGCACUAGGAUCUCCGGUGAUUUGGAUCACGAUGAGUACGACUCCUUCAACCCCAUUCUCUUGAACGCUUCCGCUUAGCGAUCUACAAGGGUAUGUAGAUGCACUCCCCUCUCUCUCUCUCGUUGCUAGUUUCUCCAUAGAUAGAUCUUGGUGACUCAUAGGAAAUUUUUUGAAUUUCUGCUACGUUCCCCAACAGAAUUAUCCUAGGCAAUUGUUAACAAAACCGGUGAUCACUAUUGCAAUUUCAUAUGAGGGAGAGGCAAAAGCUAACAUACUUUCUCUACUUGGAUAAUAUGCACUUAUGAUUGGAACUCUAGCAAGCGUCCGCAAAUACUAAAGAUCAUUAAGGUAUAACCCAACCAUAGCAUUAACGCAUCAAGUCCUCUUUAUUCCCAUACGCAACAACCCCUCUUACUCGGGUUCGUGUUUCCGUCACUCACCAACCCACUAUAAGCGAAUCAUGAACGUAUUGCAACACCCUACAGCAGGAAUUCCUCACGCUUGCGCGACACGGAGGGCACCACAGGACAGCAUCAAAGUGAAACAUACAACUCAUACCAAUCUAGAUUAUCAAUCAACCCAAAGACCAAAGAUAUCUACUCAAAACAUCAUAGGAUGGCAACACAUCAUUGGAUCAUAAUAUGUAGCAUAAAGCACCAUGUUCAAGUAGGGAUUACAACGGGGUGCAGGAGAGUGGACCGCGUAAAAGAGGUGAUGAUGGUGAUGAUGAUGGUGAUGUUGAUGAAGACCAUCACCGCGGCGAUGAUUCCCCUCCCGAUGGCACUCUGGUGCCACCAAGAGAGAGGAGGAGAGGUUCUCCCCCUUGUGCUUCCUCCUCCAUGGAUUUCCCCCUCUGGUCCUUGGCCUUCAUGGAGAUGAUGGCCUCUCCGAGAUCCUCCUUCAUGGCCUCCGGUGAUGAUGGCCCCCUCCGGCAGGGUGCCAGAGAGGGCCUAGAUUGAUUUCUCGUGGCUACAGAGGCUUGCGGCGGCGGAACUUCUGAUCUAGGUUAAUUCCCUAAAGUUUCAGUAUUUAUAGGAAUUAUUGGUGUUGGUUUGACGUCAGGGGGGUCUCCGGGUCGUCCAUGAGACAGGGGGGCACGCCCCCCUAGGGGCGCGCCCUCCUAUCUCGUGGGUAGCCCGGAGCUCUUCUGGCCCAACUCCGAUGCUCCGUGGUCUUCUUUUGGUCCAUAAAAAAUCCUCAAAAAUUGGCACGUCAUUUGGACUCAGUUUGGUAUCCCUUUUCUGUAAAACACAAAAACAAGGAGAAAACAGAAACCGGCACUGGGCUCUAGGUCAAUAGGUUAGUCCCGAAAAUUAUAUAAGAUGAUAUAUAAAUGCAUAUAAAACACCAUAGAUGGGUAAUAUAAUAGCAUGAAUACUUUAUAAAUUAUAGAUACGUUGGAGACGUAUCAUACGUCUCGAACGUAUCUAUAAUUUUUGAUUUUUCCAUGCUACUAUAUUACCUGUUUUGGAUGUUUAUGGGCUUUACUUUACACAUUUAUAUCAUUUUUGGGACUAACCUACUAACCGGAGGCCCAGCCCGUAUUGUUUUCUUUUUCCUAUUUCAGUAUUUCGAAGAAAAGGAAUACGAAACGGAGUCCAAACAGAAUGAAACCUUCGGGAGCGUGAUUUUUGGAACGAACAUGAUUCAGAGGACUUGGAGUGCAAGUCAAGAAGCAGCCGAGGAGGCCACGAGGGUGGAGGGUGCCCCCCCCCCUACUAGACGUGCCCCCUAUCUCGUGGGCCCCUCGGGCGGCCACCGACCUACUUCUUCCUCCUUUAUAUACUCACUUACCCCGAGAACAUCAGAACAAGCCACGAAAAACUAUUUCCACCACCGUAACCUUCUGUAUCCGCGAGAUCCCAUCUUGGAGCCUUAGACGACACUCCACCGGAGGGGGAAUCGACCAUGGAGGGCUUCCGCAUCAACACCAUAGCCCCUCCGAUGAGUUGUGAGUAGUUUACCACAGACCUUCGGGUCCAUAGUUAUUAGCUAGAUGGCUUCUUCUCUCUCUUUGGAUCUCAAUACCAUGUUCUCCUUGAUCUUCUUGGAGAUCUAUUUGAUGUAACUCUUUUUGCGGUGUGUUUGUCGAGAUCCGAUGAAUUGUGGGUUUAUGAUCAAGUUUAUCUAUGAGAAAUAUUUGAAUCUCCUCUGAAUUCUUUUAUGUGUGAUUGAGUUAUCUUUCCAAGUCUCUUCGAAUUAUCAAUUUGGUUUGGCCUACUAGAUUGAUCUUUCUUGCAAUGGGAUAAGUGCUUAGCUUUGGGUUCAAUCUUGCGGUGUCCUUUCCCAGUGACAGCAGGGGCAGCAAGGCACGUAUUGUAUUGUUGCCAUUGAGGGUAAAAAGAUGGGAUUUAUAUCAUAUUGCAUGAGUUUAUCCCUCUACAUCAUGUCAUCUUUCUUAAUGUGUUACUCUGUUCUUUAUGAACUUAAUACUCUAGAUGCAUGCUGGAUAGCGGUCGAUGUGUGGAGUAAUAGUAGUAGAUGCAGGCAGGAGUCGGUCUACUUGUCACGAACGUGAUGCCUAUAUACAUGAUCAUGCCUAGAUAAUCUCAUAAUUAUUCACUUUUCUAUCAAUUGCUCGACAGUAAUUUGUUCACCCACCGUAAUACUUAUGCUAUCUUGAGAGAAGCCAGUAGUGAAACCUAUGGCCCUCGGGUCUAUCUUUUAUCACAUAAGCUUUCAAUCUACUUUUAUUUGCAUCUUUACUUUUCCUAUCUAUAUUACAAAAUACCAAAAAUAUAUUUAUCUUAUCAUAUUAUCUCUAACAGAUCUCACUUUUUCAAGUGGCCGUGAAGGGAUUGACAACCCCUUUAUUUCGUUGAUAGCGAGUUCUUGUUUGUUUGUGUAGGUGCGUGGGACUUUUGAGGAGCCUCCUACUGGAUUGAUACCUUGGUUCUCAAAAAUUGAGGGAAAUAUUUAUGCUACUAUUGCUGCAUCACCCUUUCCUCUUCAAGGAAAACCAGCGCAAGCUCAAGACGUAGAAAGAAGGAUUUCUGGUGCCGUUGCCGGGGAGGUCUUCGCUCAAGUCAAGACAUACCAAGUACCCAUCACAAUCUCAUCUCCCUCACAUUUACAUUAUUUGCCAUUUGCCUCUCGUUUUCCUCUCCCCCACUUCACCCUUGCCAUUUUAUUCGCCCUCUCUUUCCCAAUCUCCUCUCUCUUUUGCUUGUCCUUUUGUGUGCUCGUCGUUAUGGCUAGCUUGGUCUUUAUCCCUUCGUCUCCCGACUUUUUUUUAACAGACCAGCUGCUGGCUGGCAUAUAUUGAAAUCAUAGCAGGAAGCAGGUGGGAAAAACAUUUAAGGUGGUGUUUGAUCUAGCGAUCAAGGAGAAAAAAAAAGAGCUGAAAAGGGAGACACAAAAAACAAGUAGCCCUUGGCUACGCUGGUAGAUAAAAAACUCUCAGGGGGGUCCCAGAACGGGUGCUCCAGGUGCGUCGCUCUAGCUUGGCGCCAUAGCUCGACGGUUCUUGUGAUGCUCGCUAGUGUUUCUGUAUGAUUUGCUAUCUUAUGUCUGAAAGUGCAUUCGUUGCACUGCUGCCAAAUGCUUCCAAGUAGCAGAAUGAUCAUUGUCUUGAUGCCCUUUUUUUGAUCAUGCGCGGCUUCGCUGAUCAUUUUUUCGAUGAUCUCCAGGGCCUUGUUCUUGUGCUGCCAAACUGUGGGGUGCAGGGAGGUGCAUCCGCGGCGUUGAGCAGUUUUUUCCCAGAUUGCUAAUGAGAAGGGGCACUGCCAAAACAAGUGGUGUGAGGUUUCCAAGUUUCUGAGGCAGAAUUGGCAGAAAUAUUCAUUUGGCCAUCCUCUUCUCUGCAGCCGGUCGUUACUCCAAAGCCUGUUUUUGAGGAGUAGCCAGACCGUAAACUUGAGCCGUGCCAGUGCCCAUGCUUGCCAAGGCAUCUUUCUGAAGCUGGUCGUGAUCAUUCCUUGGAAUUGGCAGUUGUAUGUCGAACUAGUGGAGAAAGACCCCGAGGCCAUGUGCUUCCACUGAAUGGUGUCUCGCAGCUGCUCAUUUAGAUUCAGGUUUCUCGAGAUUAGCCAUCUGUUCAGUCGGAUCACUUCUGGCCAUAGAUGUUGUGUGUUUCCAUGGGCAAGGGCAUGGAUCCAAUUGUCAUUGAGGAUUGCUGCAUGUACUGUCCUAUUCUUUCUCCUUGAGUGUUUGUGGAGGUCGGGGAGUUCCAAUUUUAGUGCUCCAGCACCUAUCCAGGAGCUGUCCCAGAAGCUCGCCGUCUUCCCAUCUCCCAGUGCCACCGUUGUUGAAGCACUGAAAAGGUCUUUGUCUCCUUGGUCACAUGGUAGCUGCAUCCCAACCCAGGGUUUGUUGGGUGUGAUCCAAGAGAACUAGAGCCACCUAAGCCUGAGUGCACGGCUGAAUCGAUGCAGGUUUGAGAUGCCGAGGCCACCCUUGUCGAUCGGAGUGCACACCACUGGCCAGCUUACUUUGCACUUCCCGCCACUGAUCUCUUCAUCUUGAGCCCACAGGAAACGUCGUAUGAUCUUGUCCACUUCGGCCAGAAUCUUCUUUGGCACCUUCAGAACGGUCAGGGCGAAGGUUGGUAGUGCACUUAACACACUUCUGACAAGAACUCUCCUCCCUGCAAUUGACAAGAGACAUCCUUUCCAGCCUGCCAGCCGAGCUCUGACUCUAUCUAGAAUGAACUGCAGGUGCACAAUCCGUAGCCUGGAGAUGGUGAUUGGAAGCCCAAGGUAGCGCAGGGGGAAGUGAUCUUGCUGUCCUCCAAAGUUCUGAAGCACCUGCUGCAGGUCAAUGUGGUCACAUCUUACGGCAGUGACAGAAGAUUUCAGCAUGUUUACUUUAAGUCCUGAAGCAUGCCUGAAGUUGUGGAUGAUGUUCAUGAGCGUAUCGAUCUCCUCUUUCACUGGGUUGGCAAAGAUGAUGGCUUCGUCCGCAUAUAGGCUCACCCGCAGCGACAGAUCCCUGCGUGGAAGCGAGUCAAGCUCGCCAAGUUCCAUGGCGCGUUGGAGGAGUCGGUGCAACAGGUCUAUGGCAAUGAUGAAAAGGAGUGGUGACAGCGGGUCACCUUGUCUAAGCCCUCUACAGUGCAAAAUUUUCUUGCCCUCCGCGCCGUUAAGCAAGAAGGAGGAGGUCGAUGUUGAUAGAAGCAUAGUGAUCCAGUCGGGCCAUCUAGCUGAGAAGCCUAGGGCUUGGAGAAGUUCGAGUAGGUAUUCCCAGGAGACAUUAACAAAAGCUUUUGCGAUGUCUAGUUUGAUAAGCAGUGCUGGUGUCUUCUUCCUAUCUAGCGCUCGAACUGCGCUUUGGACAUAGAGGAAGCUGUGGUGCGUGCUCUUCUUUGCCAGGAAGGCAGAUUGUGCCGGCGAGAUGAUGGAGUCGAUGACGUUGGAGAGGUGCAUGGAGAGGACCUUGGUGAUCAGCUUAGCUAUGGAGUGGACUAGACUAAUGGGCCUGAAAUCUGAAACUGCUGUUGCACCGUCCUUCUUUGGGAUCAAAACCACCAGGGCGGAGUUGAGCGCGGCAAGAUCGUCGCCGGCUAUACAGUAGAACUGGUGGAAAGCCCUCAUGAUGUCGUGCUUGAUGAUUUGCCAACAGCUACGGAAGAAGACUCCAAUGAAUUCGUCCGGUACCGGAGCCUUUUCCGUCGGCGAGGCCUUGAUCGCUUCCCAAACCUCGUCCUCUCUGAAAGGGUUAUCUAGGCCACCUCCUCUGAUUGUGGGCAGUUGAAGUUGGCUCCAGUUGAUGGUUGUUGGUCGAGUCCCUUUGGAGCCUAGGAUGGAUUUGAAGUGUUCGAAGAUGGCUGCUUCCUUGUCUUCGUGCGACGUGGUGACCCCGUCGUUCGUCAGUAGGUUGUGGAUGUAGUUCUUCCUUCGGCGUGAAUGGAACUUUGCAUGGAAAAUUUUGGUUCCCACGUCGCCCAGCCUGAGCCAAGUCAGUCGAGAGGCCUGACGCUUGCGCGCUCUCUCGAUCGCGGCAAGGCCAAGCAGUCUCUAUUUGAGUAGUCGUCGUAGGUUGAAUUCCGGUGUGGAGAGGUUGCGGGAUUCCUGGGCUAUGUCUAGGUGCAGGAUGAUCUCUAUUGCUAUGUGGAACUGUAUCUUAGCAUCGUUGAAAAGGGAGGAGCUCCAGAUCUUCAGGUCUUUUGCAGUGCGCGCCAUCUUGAUGGACAGCCGCUUGAAGGCACAUGAGCUAUGUACUAGCCUGCUCCAGGCAUGGUCGACCGUGUCGAGGAAGUGCGGGAACUGCAGCUAGAAGCUUUCAAAUUUGAACUUGGCGCGACGGCGAGGAGCCGCUGCAUCCGCGAGGAGCAGAGGGCAGUAGUCCGAGCACGCGGUGGACGCUGCCAUCAGUGUGCUUGUGGGUAAAAGAUCUUCCCAGCUGUUGUUGCAGAAGAACUUGUCGAUGCUGACGAGCGUCGGGUUCUCAUGCUCGUUACUCCAGGUGAAACGAUGAUUUUUGCACUUGAUCUCUUUGAGGCCAGUGACGUCAAUGGCCCGCCUGAACAUGCCCAUGACCCUGCGGUUGAGCUGAUGGUUGUUUUUGUCUCUCGCCUCAUAGAUGAGAUUAAAAUCUCCGUUGAUGAGCCAUGGUUCAGGUGUCGGGGGAGCAGUUCUAGCUAGCUUGUCGAGGAAGGCUGCUUUUCUAGCGUCGUCCACUGGGCCGUAAACUGUGGAAAGCCAGAAGCUUUUGGAUUGCCAGAGAAGCAUCACCUUGGCAGUGAUCGCGAAUUCACCUAUGGCGUGGGAAGCGAUGCUAACUAAUUCGGUGUUCCAGAAGAUCGCCGCUCCGCCGCAGGAGCCGAUCGCAGGGAGGACAACGCAAUCAGUCAGGGCGGCGCCACCAAUUUCCCUGACGAUGGUAGGUGUCCAUACAUCUAUCUUGGUUUCCUGCAGGCAUAGGAUUGCUGCUUUGUGCACUGCGACUACCUCGCAGAUCGCCGCCCGUUUCGCCGGCUGGUUUAGGCCGCGGACAUUCCACGACAUUAUUGGGCAGAAGCUUUCAUUCAUAUGGAAACGGUAGUUGCUCCGGUGACUGAAAGAUUCUAAAAGGCCUCAGGCCCAGUAUAGACACCACCAAACUAGCAGGGGCACGCCGGCAUCCACCAAUAGCGCCCAAACCACGUCGGCGAGAAGCAGAACACGCUACUAAAACAGAGGAAAGGAAACCUAGCUCUACCCGGCGUAAUGUCGUCCGCCACCGGAGACUAAUACUUAGUUGUGCUAACAUGGCUACACAGAGGCCGCAGCGGCUGCUCCCUCAGGCCCUGCAAGGCUUGCAGCAACGAGCAGGGAGUCCUUGUCGAGGCGUGUCAGCUUGGUGAUGACGGCGAUGUCAUUGUCAGUGAGUGGCUCGUCGAAGCGACGGAUGAGGGCGUCUGCUACCUCCUUGGUCAUCUUCUCCUUGGGCCCGAGCAGCCCGAGCUUCUUUACUAUGCGUAGGGAGGCCGCUGUGAGACCGGCGUCUUGGAGGUGUUGGCGGCCUGGCGCACGCUGUGCCUGGUAGGGGCCACAGGCAUGCGCGCCUUGGGUGGUGCGGAUGGGCGGCGCAGAGGGGCGUUGGCGAUGAUCGGCGCAGGGGCUUCGGUGAACAGACGGCAUGGGGCUGGGGGAGGGGGCGAUUUCUUCAUCGUUGGUGGUGAUCUCGAGCUGGCAUACGCGAGUGGUGACCAUGCCGAGCUGCAUCUCUAGCGUAUGAGCGGGCAUGGGGGCGCACCUGUUGAACUGUUCGGUGGCCUGGGGGAGUGGCGAGCGUGGGGGAGAACGUGUCCAACUGCGCCUCCAUCUCAGUGUCUGCCUUCUGCUUGCCGUUGUCGAAGUCGAGUGGAGCGGCAACCACCGCAUCAGCAGCGGCCUGGACGUCCGCCGCCGAGUUGUCGAUGAUCACCGAUGCUAGGAUGGGCCGCUUUGCUUGCCUAAAGAAGUCGUCGACCGGAUCUUUUUCCUUUGCUGUUGCCGCAGUCCCCUUCUGCCGCAGCCGAGCCCGACGCCCUCCGUGGCGAGCGAGGGGCGGAGGGCCAUCGGUGGUGUUGAUGCGCUUCUCCAGCAAACGGCCUCCUGCCGCCCGUGCGGCGGCUGUGUGUGCUCUUGUUGUGGCGCCUGGCUGGGGGGGAGCGGCUGCGAUGAUGCAGAGCAGGUGACGGCGCCGGCUGGGUCGGUGCACGCCCCCGACGCAGUAGGGAGUCCUUCCAGGAUCUGCGAUGAGCACCGCCAGCUCCGCCAGCGUCGUCGUGGUCGUGCCCACCGCGAGGAAUGCCGCGGCAGCCCAGGUCGGCCACCGGGGCGCACCCAAGGCGAUGGAGGCGAUCACCCCUCUGCCCGUCUUCGACCUCCAUGGUCCAAGUGGCAGGGAUCACGGUGAAGCGGGGCCGGUCGUUAGUGUCGGAGUCGGACGACGGCAGCCUGCUUUGGGCAGAGUGCGAAGAGCGUGGCGAGGCGGGGUCCAGUCCUCGACCCUGUCGACGUGGACGAGCAUGGUGUAGUCCGUGGUGCCCAGCGGUGGAGCAACGCGCCAGUCUGGCGGCGAAUAGCCCUGCAUCUCCUCGACGCGUCCCGCACCACGCGGCAGGACCCCGAGCGUGUGCUUGGUGGGGAUGUGGGCAACGUCGCUCGUCCAGACCCAGCAGGCAAUAGUCUUCAUGUGCCUGCGCUCCUGCAUCCUGCUGUCGAGGCGGUCAACGCGCACCUUCUUCCCGAGGAUUUCCUCGAUCCCUUCCAAGGACCAGUACUGCAUAGGGACUUUCUCGAUGAUGACUCUGACAUGAAGCUGGAGCGUGUCGAAGGCGGCGUGGUCAUGCUCAUGCCACGAUGCGAUGUUGAAGACGUCGCCAUCGACCCUGAUUGAGCCACGAUGUACGGAUUGACAUGGUGCGUGGGCUGGCUGAAGAUGACGAGGUAGUGCUCCGGGUGGUGGGACGUGACGCGCAGCUGGCUCACCGGGACGGCGAGCUGCGCCUCCAGCGCGUGGCCCACCGCCAUAGGGGACGUGGCAUUGACGCCGUCCGCCGCAGUCAUGGUGACGGCGUGGUUGCGCAGGAAGAAGAUGGCCUGCUCCGUCGCUGGGGAAUACAUGGUCAGCGAGUAGCUCUCUCUAGGGCAGCGGGAGGAGUCGACGUGGCGCUGCAUGGCCGGAGUGGUGGUGGGCAUGGUGGAUACAACCGGCGGCGGGAAGCAGAGGCGCGAGUGGAUUGGCACUGGAGGGGCGGCUUGUCUAAGCCUGGAGCGCUGGAUUUGUGGGCACUGCUUUUCUAUGUGGCCGAGCAGCUCGCAGAGGAUGCAGUGGAUGGGAUCACGGCAGUCGGCGUGGCGAUGCUUCUUGCUGAGGCAGCGGAAGCAGCGGUCGCGGAACCGGCUUAAGAAAGCCGCACGGGCGGCGUCCGCAUUGAAGCCGCAGCGCUGGUCCGGCCGCUGCACCCCAAGGCGCUCCCUGUCGCCCAGCGGGCCGGAGGCAGGGCGCUUCUUCUUCUGGUGGCUGACCUCGGUCCACCCACCAUCCAUCCCUGAAACGGAAAUCUGGGCAGCUGGGGGGGAUGGGGCGACGAUGAUGGAUUUAAGUCGCUGCAUAGGGGGUGGCAGUAGCCCGACCUCGCUUGAAGGCGCCACGGCCAGUGGCAGCGAGGAUUGCGGUUGGAUCUGCGGUCGGUCGGCCGGAUCUGGAGAAGCUUCGAGCUGCGUUUCCAGCACCUGGGACGGACCAGGGAAAACAGGCGUAUCCCACGCUGGUGGAUCCGGUCCGGAGCUUGCACUCGCAGCUGGCGAUGGCGGGGGGGACGUCGCCAUUAAGGCUGGUGGGUGGCCGCCGCGGCCGGAGCGGCCAGCGGCGCGGGGGGAGAGAGGCGCGGGGGGUCUCCCGACUUUGAAGUUCUUCACUUCAAGCAAAGACAAGGAGAAAAUUUAAAAGAUGCUUGGUUUAGGAUGCUAGAAUCUUAUCGUAGUUGCACUAUAGAAGGGGAUUUCAAGAUUUUAAUUUGCAAUUUUUAUGUUGGGUUAACCUUACCCCAUAAACAACUCCUUGAUUUUGCCGCAAAAGAGGUUUUUAUUGAACUUGAUCCUAGUUCCACUUAUGAAAUUAUAGAGGGGAUAGUAGGAGUACUCCCCCUACAAAAAGGAUCACCCUUCUCUCAUGAAGGAACCCAAAUUUUGGAGAAAUUAUGUGAAUUGCAAAAAUUUGUUGAACCACUUAAGAAUAUUGGUGGGAAUGUCAACCGCAUGAAUAAUUUGAUUACACUUUGCAAUAAGCGGUUGGAUGCCAUAGAUCAAAAGAUCUCCGAGCAUGAAGGGAAACGCAAGGAGCCUCCCGGACCUGAGCAUAAUCCAUUAAAAAGAUAAAUGCCAAAGAUGGCACUACUUAGAUCUAUCCUCGCUUUUAUGCUUAUCUAGGGGCGUUAAACGAUAGCGCUAGUCGGGAGGCAACCCAAUUUUAUUUCUGUUUUUUUUUGUUUCUGUUUAGUAAUAAAUUUUUCAUCUACCUUCUGUUUAUAUGUGUUGUUAUGUUUUAUUUAGUGCUUUUGCCAAGUAGAACCUAUAGGAUAACCUAUCGUGAUAGUUAAUUUGAUUUUGCUGAAAAAUAGAAACUUUGCACGCACGAAAUUAGUUUUGUUAAUUCACGGAAACGUGAUUUUGCGUUGAUUCAUUUUGAUGUACAUCAAUAGACAAAUUUCCCAGGACUUCCUAUUUUGGUAGGAUUUUUAGAGUUCCAGAAGUAUUCGAGAGUUACAGAUUGCUACAGACUGUUCUGUUUUUGACAGAUUCUGCCUUUCGUGUGUUGUUUGCUUAUUUUGAUGCAUCUAUGGCUAGUAUUAAGUGGUAUGAACCAUAGAGAACUUCAAAUACAGUAGGUUUAACACCAAUAUAAAUAAAGAAUGAGUUCAUUACAGUACCUUAUGUGGUGGUUUUUCUUUCUUUCACUAACGGAGCUUAUGAGAUUUCCUGUUGAGUUUUGUGUUGUGAAGUUUUCAAGUUUUGGGUAAAGAUUUGAUGGACUGUGGAAUAAGGAGUGGAAAAAGCCUAAGCUUGGGGAUGCCCAUGGAACCUCAAGAUAUUCAAGAAUAGCCAAAAUCCUAAGCUUGGGGAUGCCCCUAGAAGGCAUCCCCUCUUUCGUCUUCGUUUAUCGGCAACUUUACUUGGAGCUAUAUUUUAUUCGCCACAUGAUAUGUGUUUUGCUUGGAGCGUCUUGUAUUAUAUUAGUAUUUGCUUUUUAGUUUACCACAAUGAUCCUUUCUGUACACACCUUUUGGGAGAAGCCCACUUGAUUAGAAUUUAUUAGAAUACUCAAUGUGCUUCACUUAUAUCUUUUGAGCUAGAUAGGUUUUGCUCUAGUGCUUCACUUAUAUCUUUUAGAGCACGGCGGUGGCUUAAUUUUGAAGAAAUUGUUGAUCUUUCAUGCUUCACUUAUAUUAUUUUGUGAGUCUUUUAGAACAGCAUGGUAUUUGCUAUGGUUAUGAAUUUGGUCCUAGAAUGAUGAGCAUCCAAGUUGGGUAUAAUAAAAACCAUCAUAGAAAGUGCAUUAAACACUAGGAUCAAUUUGAUGCUUGAUAAUUGUUUUGAGAUAUACAGGUGGUAAUAUUUGAGUCAUGCUAGUGGAUAAUUAUGAAAUUAAGAAAUACUUGUGUUGAAGUUGGCAAGUCCCGUAGCAUGCACGUAUGGUAAAAGUUGUGCGACAAAUUUGUUGCAUGAGGUGCUCUUUUAAUUAUCUUCCUUACGAGUGGAGGUCGGGAUCGCGCGAUGGUUAACUCCUACCAACCCUUCCCCUAGGAUCAUGCGUAGUAGUACAUUGCUUCGAGGGCAAGUAGACUUUUGCAAUAAGUAUAUGGGUUCUUUAUGACUAAUGUGAGUCCAUGGAUAUACGCACACUCACCCUUCCACUUUGCUAGCCUCUAUUGUGCCGCGCAACUUUCGCCGGUAUCAUGCACCCAUUAUUUACCUUCCUCAAAAUAGCCACCAUACCUACCUAUUAUGGCAUUUCCAUAGCCAUUCCGAGAUAUAUUGCCAUGCAACUUUCACCGUUCCGUUAUUAUGACACGCUUCAUCAUUGUCAUAUUGCUCUUUGCAUGAUCAUGUAGUUAACAUUGUAUUUGUGGCAAGGCCACCCUCAUAAUUUUCAUACAUGUCACUCUUGAUUCAUUGCAUAUCCCAGUACACCGCCGGAGGCAUUCAUAUAGAGUCAUAUUUUGUUCUAAGUGUUGAGUUGUAAUUCUCGAGUUGUAAAUUAAUAAAAGUGUGAUGAUCUUCAUUAUUAGAGCAUUGUCCCAAGUGAGGAAAGGAUGAUGAAGACUAUGAUUCCCCGACAAGUUGGGCUGAGACUUCGGGCUUUAAAAAAAGAGGCCAAAGAGCCCACCAAAUAAAAAAAUGAGAGAAAAGAGAGAAGGGACAAUGCUACUAUCUCUUUUCCACACUUGUGCUUCAAAGUAGCACCGUGAUCUUCAUGAUAGAGAGUCUCCUAUGUUGUCACUUUCAUAUACUAGUGGGAAUUUUUCAUUAUAGAACUUGGCUUGUAUAUUCCAAUGAUGGGCUUCCCCAAAAUUCCCUAGGUCUUCGUGAGCAAGCAAGUUGGAUGCACACCCAGUUAGUUUCUUUUGUUGAGCUUUGCAUGGCAAUCCCUACUCACUCACAUUGAUAUCUAUUGAUGGGCAUCUCCAUAGCCCGUUGAUAUGCCUAGUUGAUGUGAGACUAUCUUCUCCCUUUUUUGUCUUAUCCACAACCACCAUUCUAUUCCACAUAUAGUGCUAUGUCCAUGGCUCACGCUCAUGUAUUGCGUGAAAGUUGAAAAAGUUUGAGAAUACUAAAGUAUGAAACAAUUGCUUGGCUAGUCAUCAGGGUUGUGCAUGAUUAAAUACUUUGUGUGAUGAAGAUAGAGCAUAGCCAGACUAUAUGAUUUUUUCGGGAUAGCUUUCUUUAGCCAUGCUAUUUUGAGAAGACAUGAUUGCUUUAUUAGUAUGCUGGAAGUAUUAUUGUUUUUAUGUCAAUAUGAACUUUUAUUUUGAAUCAUUUGGACCUGAAUAUUCAUGCCACAAUAAAGAAAAUUACAUUGAGAAUUAUGCUAGGUAGCAUUCCACAUCAAAAAUUCUGUUUUUAUCAUUUUCCUACUCGAGGACGAGCAGGAAUUAAGCUUGGGGAUGCUUGAUACGUCUCCAACGUAUCUAUAGUUUUUGAUUGUUCCAUGCAAUUUUACUACUUGUUUUGGAUGUUUAUGGGCUUUACUUUACACUUUUAUAUCAUUUUUGGGACUAACCUACUAACCGGAGGCCCAGCCCCGAAUUGAUGUUUUUUUGCCUAUUUCAGUGUUUUGAAGAAAAGGAAUAUCAAACAGAGUCCAAACGGGAUGAAACCUUCGGGAGCGAUCCUUUUGGAACAAUUGCAAACCAGGAUACUUGGAGUGGACGUCAAGAAGUCAAUGAGGCGGCCACGAGGGUGACCGGCGCGCCCUAUGGGGGUGGGCAUGCUCCCCACCCUCGUGGGCCCCUCAUGGCUCCACCGACCUUCUUCUUCCUCCUAUAUAUAUCCACGUACCCCGAGAACAUCCAGGAGCACCAUGAAAACCUAAUUCCACCGCCGCAACCUUCUAUAUCCGCGAGAUCCCAUCUUGGAGCCUUCGUCGGCGCUCCACCGGAGGGGGAAUCGACCAUGGAGGGCCUCUACAUCAUCUCCAAGGCCUCUCCGAUGAGUUGUGAGUAGUUUACCACAGACCUUCGGGUCCAUAGUUAUUAGCUAGAUGGCUUCUUCUCUCUCUUUGAAUCUCAAUACAAAGUUCUCCUCGAUCUUCUUGGAGAUCUAUUCGAUGUAACUCUUUUUGCGGUGUGUUUGUCGAGAUCUGAUGAAUUGUGGGUUUAUGAUCAAGUUUAUCUAUGAGAAAUAAUUGAAUCUUCUCUAAAUUCUUUUAUGUGUGAUUGGUUAUCUUUGCAAGUUUAUUGGAAUUAUAAGUUUGGUUUGGCCUACUAGAUUGAUCUUUCUUGCAAUGGGAGAAGUGCUUAGUUUUGGGUUCAAUCUUGCGGUUUCCUUUCCCAGUGACAGCAGGGGUAGCAAGGCACAUAUUGUAUUGUUGCCAUCGAGGAUAAAAAGAUGGGGUUUAUAUCAUAUUUCUUGAGUUUAUCCCUCUACAUCAUGUCAUCUUUCUUAAUGCGUUACUCUGUUCUUAUGAACUUUAUAAUCUAGAUGCACGCAGGAGUUGGUCGAUAUGUGGAGUAAUAGUAGUAGAUGCAGAAUCGUUUCGAUCUUCUUGUUGCGGACGUGAUGCCUAUAUACAUGAUCAUGCCUAGAUGAUGUCGUAACUAUGCACUUCUCUAUCACUUGCUCGACAGUAAUUUGUUCACCCACCGUAAUACUUAUGCUAUCUUGAGAGAAGCCACUAGUGAAACCUAUGGCCCCUGGUUCUAUCUUUUAUCAUAUAAGUUUCUGAUCUUCUUUUAUUUGCAAUCUUUUACUUUCCAAUUUAUAUCAUAAAAAUACCAAAAAUAUUCAUAUUAUCUUAUUAUCUCUAUCAGAUCUCACUUUUGCAAGUUUCGUGAAGGGAUUGACAACCCCUUUAUCGCGUUGGUUGCGAGGUUCUUGUUUGUUUGUGUAGGUGCGUGGGACUUUUGAGGAUCCUCCUACUGGAUUGAUACCUUGGUUCUCAAAAACUAAGGGAAAUACUUACGCUACUUUGUUACAUCACCCUUUCCUCUUCAAGGGAAAACCAACGCAGUGCUCAAGAGGUAGCAACGCACAAAAUGAGCAUGCUCAUCUAAAGAUUUUCCCUCAACUAAACUAGUUGGGGUUUCAGCACGAGCACAUAUAGAUUGAAGAUGAUCCAAUUAGAACACGUUAAGUGGAUCCGUAUUAAUAGAUUUUUAGCAAUCAAAGAUAAAAGCAAAAUAGAACGCACAUGGAAACACAAGCAAACAUAAGAUCGAACGAAAGAAGGGUGAAGAAAAGGCAAAUCUUUUCGAAAAUAGUUUUAGAAGUGGGGGAGAGGAAAACGAGAGGCAAAUGGCGAAUAAUGUAAUGCAAGAGAUGAGAGUUUAUGAUGGGUACUUGGUAUGCCUUGACUUGACGUAGAUCUCCCUAGCAACAACGCCAGAAAUUGGUAAGUUGAUGGGAGACAAAUAUUGACUUGACUUAGCGCAAAUCUCCCCGGCAACGGAGCCAGAAAUUCUUCCUGCUACUUCUUGAGCUUGCGUUGGUUUUCCCUUGAAGAGGAAAGGGUGAUGCAGCAAAGUAGAAAUAAGUAUUUCCCUCAGUUUGAGAACCAAGGUAUCAAUCCAGUAGGAGACAACGCACAAAUCACCGAAUACUUACACAAACAAUCAAACAAACUUGCACCCAACGCGAUAAAGGGGUUGUCAAUCCCUUCACGGUUACUUGCAAAAUUGAGAUUUGAUAGAGAUAGAUAAAUGAUAAAGUAAAUAUUUUUGGAAUUUUUGGUUUAAGAUCGGAUAGUAAAAGAUUGCAAGAAUACUACAUCGGAAACUAAAAUUGUAGAACGAAAACUUAUAUGAUGGAAAAGAGACCCGGGGGCCAUAGGUUUCACUAGAGGCUUCUAUCAAGAUAGAAAAUAAUACGGUGGGUGAACAAAUUACGACCGAGAAAUUGAUAGAAAAGCACAAAAUUAUGAGGAUAUCUAAGGCAAUGAUCAUGAAUAUAGGCAUCACGUCCGUGUCAAGUAGACCGAAACAAUUCUGCAUCUACUACUAUUACUCCACGCAUCGACUGCUAUCUAGCAUGCAUCUAGAGUAUUAAGUUCAUAAAGAACGGGGUAACGCAUUAAGUAAGAUGACAUGAUGUAGAGGAAUUAACUCAAGCAAUAUGAUGAAAACCCCAUCUUUUUAUCCUCGAUGGCAACAAUACAAUACGUGCCUUGCUUCCCCUACUGUCACUGGGAAAGGACACCGCAAGAUUGAACCCAAAUCUAAGCACUUCUCCCAUUGCAAGAAAAACCAAUCUAGUUGGCCAAACCAAACCGAUAAUUCAAAGAGACUUGCAAAGACAUCAAAUCAUGCAUAUAAGAAUUCAGAGAAGAUUCAAAUAAUAUUCAUGGAUAAGUUGAUCAUCAAUCCACAAUUCAUCAGUCUCGGCAAACACACCACAAAAAAGUAUUACAUCGAAUAGAUCUCCAAGAACAUCGAGAAGAACAUGAUAUUGGCAAUCAAAGAGAGACAAGAAGCCAUCUAGCUACUAGCUAUGGACCCGUAGGUCUGAGGUAGACUACUCACGCUUCAUCGGAAGGGCAGUGGUGUUGAUGUAGAAGCCCUCCGUGUUCGAAUCCCCCUCCGGCAAGACGCCUCAAAAGGUCCCUAGAUGGGAUCUCACGGGUACAAAAGGUUGCGGCGGUGGAAAAGUGUUUUUGUGGAUGCCCCUGUUGGUUUGGGGGUAUAUGGGAAUAUAUAGGAAAAAUAAUUAGGCCAGGAGACCCACGAGGGGCCCACAAGACAGGGGACGUGCCCUCCACCCUCGUGGCCGCCUCGUGGCUCCUCCGACUUCAUCUCCAAGUCUCCUGGUUUGCUUCUGGUCCAAGAAAGACCAUCGCAAAAGUCUUAUUCUGUUUGGACUCCAUUUGGUAUUCCUUUUCUGCGAAACUCUAAAACAGGGAAAAAACAGGAACUGGCACUGGGCUCUAGGUUAAUAGGUUAGUCCCAAAAAUAAUAUUAAAUAGCAUAAUAAUGCAUAUAAAACAUCCAAAACAGAUAAUAUAAUAGCAUGGAACAAUAAAAAAUUAUAGAUACAUUGGAGACGUAUCAGCGGACUAGGUCCGUGAUCUGAGGAUUAUCCUCAUUGUUGCACAGAAGAAUUAUAUCCUUGAUGCACCACUAGGUGAAAAACCUAUUGCAGGAGCAGAUGCAGACGUUAUGAAUGUUUGGCAAGCUCGAUAUAAUAAAUACUUGAUAGUUUAGUGCAACAUGCUUUACGACUUAGAAUCGGGACUUGAAAAAUGUUUUGAAUGCCACAGAGCAUAUGAGAUGUUCCAAGAGCUGAAAUUUGUAUUUCAGACUCAUGCCCAUGUCAAGAGGUAUGAGACCUCUGACAAGUACUUUUCCUAAAAGAUGGAGUAGAAUAGCUCAACUAGUGAGCAUGUGCUCAAAAUGUCUGGGUACUACAAUCGCUUGAAUCAAGUGGGAGUUAAUCUUCCAGAUAAGAUAGUGAUUGACAGAGUUCUCUAGUCACUACAACCAAGCUACUAGAACUUCGUGAUGAACUAUAAUAUGCAAGGGAUGACGAAAACGAUUCCCGAGCUUUUUGUGAUGCUGAAAUCGGCGAAGGUGGAAAUCAAGAAAGAGCAUCAAAUAUUGAUGGUUAACAAGACCACUAGUUUCAAGAAAAAGGGCAAGGGAAAGAAAGGAAACUUCAAGAAGAAUGGCAAGCAAGUUGUCACUCCAUGAACAAGCCCAAAUCUAUACCUAAGCCUAAAACUAAGUGCUUCUACUGCAAUGGGAAUGGUCACUAAAAGCGGAACUACCCCAAAUACUUGGCGGAUAAGAAGGAUGGCAAAGUAAACAAAGGUAUAUUUGAUAUACAUGUUAUUGAUGUGUACCUUACUAGUAUUCAUAGUAGCUCCUGGAUAUUUGAUACCGGUUCGGUUGCUAAGAUUAGUAACUCGAAACAGGAGUUGCAGAAUAAAUGGAGACUAGUUGAGGAUGAGGUGACGAUGUGUGUUGGAAGUGGUUCCAAGAUUGAUAUGAUCAUCAUCGCACACUCCCUAUACUUUCGGGAUUAGUGUUGAACCUAAAUGAAAUGUUAUUUGGUGUAUGCAUUGAGCAUGAACAAGAUAGGAUCGUGUUUAUUGCAAUACGAUUAUUCAUUUAAUUCAGAGAAUAAUUGUUAUUCUAUUUACAUGAAUAAAACCUUCUAUGGUCAUAUACCCAAUGUGAAUGGUUUAAUGAAUCUCGAUUGUAGUGAUACACAUAUUCAUAAUAUCGAUGCCAAGAGAUGCAAAGUUGAUAAUGAUAGUGCAACAUACUUGUGGCAUUGCCGUUUAGGUCAUAUUGGUGUAAAGCGCAUGAAGAAAAUCCAUAUGGAUGGACUUUUGGGAUCACUUGAUUAUAAAUCAUUUGAUACUUGCGAACCAUGCCUCAUGGGCAAGAUAACUAAAACGCCGUUCUUUGGAACAAUGGAGCGAGUUAAUAACUUAUUGGAAAUAAUACAUACCGAUGUAUGAGGUCCGAUGAGUGUUGAAUCACGUGGCGGGUAUCAUUAUUUUCUCACCUUCACUGAUGAUUUAAGUAGAUAUGAGUAUAUCUACUUCAUGAAACACAAGUCUGAAACAUUUGAAAAGUUCAAAGAAUUUCAGAGUGAAGAGGAGAAUCAUCGUAACAAGAAAAUAAAGUUUCUAUGAUCUGAUCACAGAGGCGAAUAUUUGAGUUACGAGUUUGGCCUUCAUCUAAACAAUGUGGAAUUAUUUCACAACUCACGCCACCUGGAACACCACAGCGUAAUGGUGUGUCCGAAUGUCGUAACCGCUCUUUAUUAGAUAUGGUGUGAUAUAUGAUGUCUCUUACUGAUUUACCACUAUCGUUUUGGGGUUAUGCGUUAGAGACAGCCGCAUUCAUGUUAAAUAGGGCACCGUCUAAUUCUGUUGAGAUGACACAGUAUGAACUGUGGUUUAGCAAGAAACCUAUGCUGUCAUUUCUUAAAAUUUGGGGUUGCGACACUUAUGUCAAAAGGCUUCAACCUGAUAAGAUCGAACCCGAAUCAGAGAAGUGCAUCUUCAUAGGAUACCCUAAGGAAAAAAUUGGGUACACCUUCCAUCACAGAUCUGAAGGCAAGAUCUUUAUUUCUAAGAAUGGGUCCGAAGGAGUUUCUCUCGAAAGAAGUGAGUGGGAGGAAAGUACAACUUGAUGAGGUAAAUGUACCUUCUCUCCAAUUGGAAAGUAGUACAUCAGAGAAAACUAUUCCCGUGAUGCCUACACCAACUAGAGAGGAAGCUAAGUAUGAUGAUCAAGAAACUUCAGAUCAAGUUACUACUAAAUUUCGUAGGUCGACCAGAGCACGAUCCGCACCAGAGUGGUACGGUAAUCUUGUCCUAGAAGUCAUGUUACUAGACCAAGGCGAACCUACAAACUAUGAAGAAGCUAUGAUGAGCCCAGAUUCCAACAGAUGGCUUGACGCCAUAAAUCUGAGAUAGGAUCCAUAUAUGAGAACAAAGUGUGGACUUUGGUGGACUUACCCGAUGAUCGGCAAGCCAUAGAGAAUAAAUGGAUCUUCAAGAAGAAGACUGACGAUGAUGGUAAUAUUACUAUCUACAAAGCUUGACUUGUCACAAAAAGGUUUUCGACAAGUUCAAGGGGUUGACUACAAUGAGACUUUCUCAACCGUAGCGAUGCUUAAGUCCGUCUGAAUCAUGUUAGAAAUUGCCACAUUUUAUGAAAUCGGGCAAAUGGAUGUCAGAACUGUAUUUCGUAAAUGGAUAUCUCUAAGAAAAGUUGUACAUGAUGCAACCAGAAGGUUUUGUCGAUCCUAAAUGUGCUAACAAGGUGUGCAAGCUCCAGCGAUCCAUCUAUGGACUGGUGCAAGCAUCUCAGAGUUGGAAUAUACGCUUUAAUGAGGUGAUCAAAGCAUAUGGUUUUCUACAGACUUACGGUGAAGCCUGUAUUUACAAUAAAGUGAGUGGGAGCUAUGUAACAUUUCUGAUAUUAUAUGUGGAUAACAUAUUGUUGAUUGGAAAUGAUAUAGAAUUUCUGGAUAGCAUAAAAGGAAAAUUGAAUAAGAAUUUUUCAAUGAAAGACCUCCGUGAAGCUGCUUACAUAUUGGGCAUCAGGAUCUAUAGAGAUAGAUCAAGACGCUUGAUAAGACUUUCAAUGAGUACAUACCUUGACAAGAUUUUGAAGGAGUUCAAAAUGGAUCAGUUAAAGAAGGAGUUCUUGCCUGUAUUGUAAGGUGUGAAGUUGAGUAAAGACUCAAAACCCGACCACGGCAGAAGAUAAAGAGAGAAUGAAAGUCAUUCCCUAUGCCUCAGCCAUAGGUUCUAUGAAGUAUGCCAUGCUGUGUACCAAACCUGUUAUGUACCUUGCCAUGAGUUUGACAAGGGGGUAUAAUAGUGAUCCGGGAAUAGAUCACUGGACAACAAUCAAAAUUAUCCUUAGUUACCUUAAAAAAGACUAAGGAAAUUUUUCUCGGUUAUGGAGGUGAUAAAGAGUUUGCCGUAAAGAGUUACAUCAAUGCAAGCUUUGGCACUGAUCUAUAUGAUUCUAAGUCUCAAUCUAGAUACGUAUUCAACUGGGAGUAAUUAGCUAGAGUAGAUCCAUGCAUAGCAUUGUAGACAUAGAAAUUUGCAGAAUACAUACGGAUCUGAACAUGGUAGACCAGUUGACUAAACCUCUCUCACAAGCAAAACAUGAUCACACCUUAGUACUCUUUGGGUGUUAAUCACAUGGCGAUGUGAACUAGAUUAUUGACUCUAUUAAACCCUUUGGGUGUUGGUCACAUGGCAAUGUGAACUAUGGGUGUUAAUCACAUGACAAUGUGAACUAUUGGUGUUAAAUCACAUGGCAAUGUGAACUAGAUUAUUGACUCUAGUGCAAGUUGGAGACGGAAGGAAAUAUGCCAUAGAGGCAAUAAUAAAGUUGUUAUUAUAUAUUUCCUUAUAUCAUGAUAAAUGUUUAUUAUUCAUGCUAGAAUUGUAUUAACCGAAAACUUGAUACAUGUGUGGAUACAUAGACAAAACACCAUGUCCCUAGUAAGCCUCUACUAGACUAGCUCGUUAAUCAAAGAUGGUUAAGUUUCCCCAUAGACAUGUGUUGUCAUUUGAUGAACGGGAUCACAUCAUUAGGAGAAUGAUGUGAUGGACAAGACCCACCCGUUAGCAUAGCAUAUUGAUCGUUCAGUUUUAUUGCUAUUGCUUUUUUCAUGUCAAAUACAUAUUCCUUCGACUAUGAGAUUAUGCAACUCUCGGAUACCGGAGGAAUGCCUUAUGUGCUAUCAAAUGUCACAACGUAACUGGGUGAUUAUAAAUAUGCUCUACAGGUAUCUCCGAAGGUGUUUGUUGAGUUGGCAUAGAUGAGAUUUCGAUUUGUCACUCAGAGUAUCGGAAAGGUAUCUCUGGGCCCUCUCGGUAAUACACAUCAUAAGAAGGCUUGCAAGCAAAGUGACUAAUCAUUUAGUUGUAGGAUGAUGUAUUACGGAACGAGUAAAGAGACUUGCCGAUAACGAGAUUGAACUAGGUAAGAAGAUACCGACGAUCGAAUCUCGAGCAAGUAACAUACCGAUGGACAAAGGGAAUAACGUAUGUUGUCAUAACUGUUCAACCGAUAAAGAUCUUCGUAGAAUAUGUGGGAGACAAUAUGAGCAUCCAGGUUCCGCUAUUGGUUAUUGACGGAAGAGGUGUCUCGGUCAUGUCUACAUAGUUCUUGAACCUGUAGGGUCCGCACGGUUAACGUUCGAUGAUGAUAUAGUAUUAUAUGAGUUAUGUGAUUUGGUGACCGAAUGUUGUCCGGAGUCCCGGAUGAGAUCAUGGACAUGAUGAGGAGUCUCGAAAUGGUCGAGAGGUAAAGAUUGAUAUAUAGGACGAUGGAAUUCGGACACCGGAAGUGUUUCAGAGGGGGUUCUGAGCACUCCCGGCAAAAGAUAUGGGCCUUAUGGGCCAAAAGGGGAAACACACCAGCCACAAGGGGCUGGUGCGCCCCCCAUAUGGACCGACCAAAGAGGAGAAGGAAAGAGGGGAAGGGAAAAAGUAAAAGUAGGAAGUACUACUUCCUUCUUCCCCCUUUCCUCCCCCCUCCAACAAUUUAUGGAAAGGGGGGCGCCACUUAGGAAACCCCCAAGUAGGAUUUGGAUCCUACUUGGGGCGCCCAUGGCUGCCUCCCCUCUCCCUCCCACCUAUAUAUAUGAGGAGGGGGCGCCUAGCACACCCACAACAUAAUCUUAGCCGUGUGUGGCGCCCCCCUCCACAAUUUACACUCUCGGUCAUAUUUUCGUAGUGCUUAGGCGAAGCCCUGCAAGGAUCACUUCACCAUCACCGUCACCACGUCGUCAUGCUGAUGGAACUCAUCUACUACCUCGAAGACUUGCUGGAUCAAGAAGGCAAGGGACGUCACCGAGCUGAACGUGUGUAGAACUCAGCGGUGUCGUACGUUCGGUACUCGAUCGGUGAAUUGUGAAGAAAGUUCGACUACAUCGGUCAUGUUGUGAAACGCUUCCGCUUACGGUCUACAAGGGUAUGUAGACAAACUCUCCCCCCUCGUUGCUAUGCAUCUCCUAGAUAGAUCUUGCGUGAGCAUAGGAAUUUUUUUGAAAUGGCAUGUUACGUUUCCCAACACGAAGGGCAUGCAGGUGUAACAAUACACGUCGCAUGGGGAGAGGAAGGUUGUCUUCUCAACAUCCUUUACCGCCAUCUUGAUCUGGUGAUAGCCUGAGAAGGCGUCUAAGAAGCACAGCAGAUCGCACUCGGCGGUGGAAUCCACGAUUUGAUCGAUGUGCGGGAGCGGGAAAGGGUCCUGAGGGCAGGCCUUGUUGAGCCUCGUGAAGUUGACACACAUGCGCUCUUUCCCGCCCUUCUUGGGGAUGAUGACUGGAUUAGCCAGCCACUCCGGGUGCCGCACCUCCCGAAUGACGCCGGCUUCUUGCAGCUUCCGGACCUCCUGGACAAUGGAUGCUUGUUUCUCUUGGGGUUGUCAUCAUGCCUUCUGUUUCACCGGGCGUGCAUUGGGGCACACCAUCAAGUGGUGCUCGAUCACGUCCUUGUUUGCCCUGAGGAAACCAACCAACGCCUCCUCUUGCUCCGGAGGGAGGCCGGCGCCUAUGGUGAAAGUGGGGCCUAAGCCCCCGUCAUCGAUAGGUACCUGCUUCUUCUCGGCUCGUUCCUAAGAGAACAACUUCUUCUUAGCGCGUGCGUCCUCCGGAGGCUCGGCGACGCUCACCACAUCGGGGCGCGAGGCCGUUGCGGCCUUGUAGACAGACUUGAGGGCUCGAAGCGCGUCUUUGGUGUCCCCGACUACAGAAAUGAUGUUGUUGCUCCCAGGCAUCUUGAUAACGUUGUAGCCUGAGUGCGUAGUUGCCAUGAACUUGGCGAGGGCCGGAUGCCCCAGAAUGGCAUUGUACGGGAGGAUGAUGCAGGCCACGUCGAAGUCGAUCAACUCAGUGCAGUAGUUGCCGCAAGUGCCGAAGGUGACGGGGAGGCGCACGUGCCCUAGGGGAGUGGUGGAGCCUUUGGCAACCCCCGAGAAGGGAUUAGUGGGCACGAUCUGGUCGUAGGGAACCUGGAGCAUGCUGAAGGCCUCCACGGAGAGGACGUUGAGGUCGGUGCCACCGUCAAUGAGGGUGGGAGUAACCGCCACAUUAUUGAUGGUAGCCAUGCACAACAUGGGGAACGCACUAGCGGCAACCAUAGUCUUGGGAUGAUCCCUGAAGUCGAAGGUGAUGUCGGUCUUUGGCAUUGCACGGCUCUGCGGGACCUCCUACUGUGGCCGGGGAGCGCCUACCCGGCAAAGGAGCUGCUUGACGUGGCGGCCAUACGCGGGCGCCUGCGACCCACCGAGGAUACACACAAACGUGUGAGGUUCGGGGGCCACGAAACACGCGAUGAAUAGAUGGUAGAGCUCCUCCCAGGUGGACACUGAGGCCUCGGGGAGGCCACGAAGCCAGGAGCACGGCAUCUCUGUGAGGGCCAGAGGGAGCCAGUUCGCCAUGGCUUUGUUGUCACCGCCGACCGCCCUGAUGGCAUGUGCAUACAGCCGAAGGAACUCCUUGGGGUCUGCCAAGCCGUCAUAUCGCGGGGGCAGCACCGGCCUAAACUUCGCUGGCCACCGCACCCGACGCAGGAUGGGGGUGAAGGCCUGGCAGCCCGCAACAUCUCCAUAGGCCACGGGCGGCCAAAUCGGCAACGCAACGUCCGCCAUGGAAACCACGAGGCGAGGGCAAAGCGCGGUCGGCAGAGAAGCGAAACCUCGACACGCCCCUACCUGGCGCACCAAAUGUCGGAUUCAGGGCUCCGUGGACCCAAGAAGGUUUGAACGCUAGGGCGUGUGUGAAGAUCUCAACCUCUCGAGUCUCUGCUCGCCACCCUUCAGCCUAGCUGCGUCGAGCGCACGCGAAUGAGGAGGAAGAAGAUGAACACGGCAGUUUACCCAGGUUUGGGCCACCUUGCGGUGUAAAACCCUACUCCUGCUUUGUGGUGGAUUGGCCUCACGAGGAGGCUGAGUAUGAACUAGUACAAUGGUUUGAGCGGCCCCGUGAGGGCUCAAGAACGGGGUUGAAAAAGAUUUGAUCCCCAUCGUGGUGGCAGCUAACCUAUAUUUAUAGUGGCCUCGGUCCUCUUCCAUCAAAGCUUAGACGGGAAGGGAUCCCACAACGGACAAUUUUGAAAGUGGACAAGUAGUACAUCUUAUCCUGACGAAAGGUAGUCUUCGCCUGCAAAGCCUCGGGCCAUAACGGACCAGUGGGCUCGGCGAUGACAUCCGUCCAGCCGAGCCCGUGGUCUUGGUCUCGUUGCACUGGAAUGGGAAGCUUGCAAGCCUUCCUCGAGAACCUGCGCCUGUCCUUGCUCCCGUUGCACCAAAGGGAAAACUGCCUCCUUUCCCGUUGGCACCCGCCUGGCCACAAUCAUCAUGGCUCACGUCAUCGUGACCUCGUGAGGCCGGGUUCCUGCAUAGAAAUCUCCGCUCCUCGGGAGGCAGCCUGAGGAGGCCACUCCUCUGGAGGUCUUGGUGUCGCCAACCUCGCGAGGCCAGGGGGCCUCGCGAGGGUCUUGUCCCUGGGGUGUUGUAGCCGAUCUGUACCAGGCUUUUGAUGGGCCCACAUGCUGGGCUGCAGGCAGGCAGGCCUGGGUACCCCCGAUCCCAGGACGCGGACAGAGUCUAUGGAAGUAAGGCUGAAGUUGAUGUUCAAUUCCUAUGAAAUUGAGGUAUAGGAAUACAAUUUCAAAUGAAUUUGGGUGCCACUGUUACUUCAAUCCAAAGGCAUUCCUUAACGGGAAAAUAUGAAGGCCUCCUUUGGCUCAUAGAAUAGUAAUAUCAUAGGAAUAGAAAAUUUAUAAGUGAGAUGACAUGUAUCUCAAUUCUUAUAGAGAAAGAGAUUUCACUUGGUUCAUAGAAUAUGAAUUUGUUUCACUGGGUUUAGGCUAAUGUUUUUUUCUUUGAAAUGUGAAGGAUUGGUUUCGAUCCUACAUAGGAAUAGGAAUCCAUUCCUAAGAUCCAAAGGACCCCAGAGAAAUUUUUCCUACAAUCCUAUCCAUUAGAAUUUCUAUAAAGUUACACUAGACUAAAGGAGGCCUAAGAAUAACAAUCCUACAAAAUUCCCGCAAUCCGAAGCAUUGACGAUUCACUGGUGGUGGCAAGGAAUAAGACCUCGUAUGUCACGCGUUGCGCGCGGAAUAGGGCGAGCCACACACACUGUGCAAUGGCGGACCGACCCAUUUAUGGCUUUGCAGGGUUCUUUUCUUCAAAAAAAUCUUUGUCCAAAAAGUCUCUGGAUACCCCGUGCGCACGGGCCUAGAAGACCCCUGUGUGCACAUGGCCCCUCGCUGUAGAAGCUGCUGAGCCCGUGCGCACAGGUUUGUAUCGUGCGCACGGGCCUCACUUACCCCGUGCGCACGGGCUCUACGGGAUGGACGUGCCUAUAUAAUCCGUACCUUGGGUCAUGUUUAGGGUUCGCAAAGACAUAUGUGAGAUAUUUUGAGAGUUUUGCUCCUUCUACCACUCCACUGGAGAUCAAGGCCUCUUAGGAGAGGAUCCACCUGUGAAUUUCAAGAUCUCCACUUGGAGAAGACUAUCAUCAAGACCUCACCUCCUUAGGAGUGGGAAGAACCUUUAUCUAGUGCUUGUUUCCUUUGAUUGUUCAUGUAUUAUGGACCUAUGUGUUUACUAUUCUACUAGAUGUGUAAUUGGAUGUUGUUGGAGUGAUUUCCUCUUUGUGUUCUUUGUGUUCAUCUCCUUUCUCUCCUCCAAGUGUGAAAAGAUCCCUCUUAGGGUUUCACCCUACAACAGUUACAUUCAUAUGUAUAAAUGUCCUUCCAAUAUUUAACAGUCAUCAUGUGUUUGAAAAUUUUAACGGCAAACUUGAAAAAUGGUCACCCUGUAUUGUAGAAUUGUUCAUUGUAUAUUAAAAUAAACUAGAACAUGAAGGUGCGCUUUGACACGCCAGUUUGUUUUGAAACGUGUGAUAUAAUUUCAGAAUAGAUACAAAUGGUCAAAUACAUCAAAAUGAUAUAUUUCACCGGAGAAAUACACCGUAAUAGUUCUUAGGGAAACACUGGCGUUCAACUUACCGAUCUUUUCUUUUGCGUCCGCCGCGUCCUAUGCUUGCCAUGCAUCUUGAUUGGGCCCGCACACCGCAUUUCUUUUUCAUCCUUAUCUUCAUGGUAUGCUGGUCACUAAUCCGUUUUUGUAGCUACUCCCAUUCCUGCAAGUGGCCACCUGUUUCAGAAAGUAAACCACAACAAAUGCUAUGUUGCGGACCAUCUGCCAGUCCCUUUGUUUGACAUGUGGCCGCCCACGUCUUAUCUCUUCGUCUCUCUGCGUCAUCUUAUCUCUUUUUCAACCUCUCCCCCUUGUAUACAAGUGUCUAUCAAUGGUGUACAUCUAGCCGGUGAGGAGGAUGGUGAUGAAGCAAGCGGCGCGAUGGGGGGACGGGCGAUGCAUCUCCUCCCUCACCACCGUCUGGCGGGCGCACGUCGGCAGCGACGCGAUGGCAGGGAUGGGCGGCGCCGCUCCCCCUCACCACCAUCCGGCAGGAGCUCGUGGCAAACAACAAUGGUGUUUUUUUGCAACAUUGAAUUUGUUGCAAGGAAGAUUUCUGCAAUACUAGUCAUGUUGCAAAACUUUCUUUCGUACCACCAUAUGAAGGUGAGACCAAAAAAAAACUGCAACAACACCUCAGUUGCAAAGUUUUUCUGCAACAAUUUGCUGCAAGAAAAAUGAAGACAAAAAAAUAAAUUCCGCAACACGAGCUAUGUUGUAAAAAGAAUCCCACAAAAGUCCACAAGAUCAUUCAUGUUACAAGUGUUUCUGCAACAAGGUCUCUGUUGCAAAGUAGAGAAAGACAUGCAUCCGCUCGAUUUAUCAAAUCCGACGGCUCGUGAGGCGGUAAAAAGAUCCGCCGACCGACGCGUAGCAGUCCCCUAUUUCUUAUCAACAUUGUAGGUUUUUUACCGCUGCAAUUGCAAUGGUUGUUCUAGGACAAAAUUUCCUCCUUUUACAUCCAAUACUAAUAUCAGUAUAAGUCGGGUACUUAUGAAAAUCAUACUUCUCCAGGAUUUCUUCAAUCUAUUUUCAAAUCUGAUGAUUUUCCAAUCCACAAAGGGUUGUCUUAUACCAAUAGUCUUACACGAAGAACAAUGUUCUCAUAGCAUGCCUUCUGUGACAUGUAACAGAACUGAUAUACUAAUUCAAUAUUCACAUAACAGUCAAAUCUUCAAUUGAAAAAAAUCUUCAGCAGCGAAGGCAGCACAUGCAUUUCAAGCCAACAAACUGUAUAAACCUAACAAUAGAGGGGAUACUGAAUUAACGAUAGUUCUAGUAUCAAAUGCAACAUCAAGGGAAGUUAAUGUGUUGUACACAUUGUAUAGCUCACUCAUCGCUCAGGUACAGUUGACGGUGCGACUGAUGAAUUAUUGGGUUUUACCAUGUAAAGUAUGGCAAUCGCCAAGCAAUCUAUGUACCAGACUAUCAAUCAACCUAACGAGUAUGCAGAUGACAUAUCCCUGUGACUGAGUUACAACAGUAUGAAGUCCAAUGUAACAGAAGAUUUGAGGGGAGAAUGUGGGCCUGAACUCCAACAAUCAAGAGGAUGCAGCUGUAAAUGGUUCACUAGCCUCCAGAAGCUUGUCAAGCAAGCCGGUGAACACAACAGAAUCAGUCUCAUUGGGCUUGAAUUUGAGGAGAGCAGAAGGUACUAGGCCUUCAUCUUGCAACGUGCGUGCCCGCUCUCCUGUAUUUGGGGAAUGCGGUAGCACACGUGACCUAGGAACAGCUGGACAGAUAAGAUCAAAUUCCAAACCUGGCUGCUUCAAAGCAUCCGCGACAAACUGCAUCAGGGAAAGCAGCAGAUUAACCAAAAUGCUACACAACCAGUAAUGAAAUGAAUACACAAUGCUAGAAGAAUAUAGCUUUAAACACUACUUCCUUCGUUCCAUAAUUCUUGUCACAGUUUGAGUUCAAAUUUGAACGAGAACCACGACAAGAAUUAAGAAUCGGAGGGAGUAAAAUAACAUUUGGAUAGCCCGACAUAGGCAUGUGAACAACUUCAUGCCUUCCACAUACAUAAAGACUGUUAUUUACAGCUUCGCCAGUGGCCCAUAAGCCAAACUCACAAACUCCAGAAUUACACUUGGGAGUGUUCAUGCCAAUUGACAAAUAAUCAGUAGCACAAAAUACAUAGUGUAUAUGACAAGUUACAACUCCUAGAGUGGAAUCAAAUACUAAAAGAUUCACCACCUCAUUCUGGAUUGCGAGAUAUACAGAUGAUACUCAAUGGGACAAAAUCAUAUGGACGAACAAGCAUAGAGGGCAGAAGUACCUCAUAUAGUGAACCAGUAGCCUCCGCUGGAAGGAAUACACCCUGGAGAAUUACUCCAUCAGGAAACUGAACUCGGAUGACAGCUUGUUUGUACUUCUGUCGAGCAGCCAGUGCCUGCUUCUCCUUAUAUGACUUUGGAAUUAGCAACCGAGAUUGUUCCAGCCUUUCCCUCCUCAUCUUUGCCUCAUUCCUUACCUCCUCACCACUAAGUUUGUAGAAAGAAUCCGGUGUAUCAAUUUCUGCAACAGAACUUCCAGGGACAUUGAAGAAUACCCGAAUCUGUGAAUUUAUCAUGGAAGUUUAAUAAAUUACAUUUCUAAGGACAUAUAAAUGGGAUCAACAGCAAACUGCAAAAUGGACAAUCAAUUGCACAACAUAACAGAAAAAGGAGGCAUCAGAGCACAUAUAGUCGUAUAUAUGCUAAAUUUCAGGUUUGAAAAGAAAUAUUCUUACAGUAAUUACUAAAUUCAACAUGUUGAGGAAAAAUAAAAUAAAACAAGUGGUGAAUCACAGUUUGCGGAUCUGACAUUUCUGCCAACAGAUGCACAUAUAUUAUAUCGGACGCUGAUAUAUCCCUGCCAACUUAUGCACAUAUAUAUCAGACGCUGAUAUAUCCCAAUACCAUGAUAUGCAUCUUAUUGGAAGUACAUGCUGGGAGCUGUGACAUGUCAAUUUAGCUUCUUCAAUCAGAAGUUGCAACAGUUUUACCUGAACCCAUACGUGAUACGUCCAUCCCCGCAAGUAAGAUCAGAUUCAAAAAUAAAAUCCGAAUAUCUGCAUCUGAUAUAUAAUCAGGACCAAGUGCCAAUGUUUCAUUAGAACUAAUUGCUCUACAAUUUUUGAAAUAUACUCCCUCCGUCCCAUAAUGUAAGACGUUUUUUGACACUACAUUAUGGGACGGAGGGAGUACAUUUUAUCAUUGGACAACUGUAUACAAUGCUUUUUUUUUGUAGCAUUUGUCUUGCACGAUAGAGACAACAUGUAGUUUUAUCUCAAACAGGAACAUCAUAAAGAUGCCAUUCCACAUACUUUGUAGCAAAAAGUAACAACAUUGACAAAACGCUACAAUGUUCAGAACAUAGAAAUAACUUAAUUUAUGUAUGAACUAAAAAUUAUAGGUAUACAAAGGACAGGCCAAAUCUUCCAAAGUGUACUGUGUACAACAAUACAAAAGACAGGCCAAAACUCAAACAUGAAUAAGAAGUGUACGACAAUAUAAAAGACAGGCCAAAACUCAAACAUGAAUAUAGAAGUGUACAGCCAAAGGAAGUAUCACAUUUUACAUACUACUUAGUUUGCUACAUUCUGACCUCCGACAUAUGGAGUAAUAUAGACUGUGCAAGUUCUGUGGAAUUCCACAAUAUCUCAUGGAAAUGGUACCACAUUGUUAAGACAUGCCUAUAUAUGAACAUGACCGCAGAAUUUAUACACUGACCUCACAGAAAUGGCACCACAUUUUUAUGAUCUAUUGGUGUAAGAACAUCAAUAUUCGGUCAUUUUUACUCAUCACUAAGUUCAAACAAAAUAUAUUUCUCACGAGUAAAGAUGUGGCAUGGGUAUACCCAGAAUAUCAGAGUGUGGACAAACCAAACUAUCCAUGCAGUACAAUCCAAAAUAUGAUCAUUCACAUAACCAAUUGAUGGAGUAUAUUGAAUUAGACGCCUGCUCACCUGACGAUCAACAAUCUUGUUAACCUCCUUUUGCUCAUCGACUCCGCUGCGGCAGCUCUCUUUGGACUCAGACCCGGCCAGCGUCGGUAGCGGUGCCGAAGGAUGGGACCUCUCAAGCAGGAGCACAGCCUGCCUGAUCCCGCUAAGCCUUGCUUCGGCAGGAGUCUCGUCCAUCACGGCANNNNNNNNNNNNNNNNNNNNNNNNNNNNNNNNNNNNNNNNNNNNNNNNNNNNNNNNNNNNNNNNNNNNNNNNNNNNNNNNNNNNNNNNNNNNNNNNNNNNNNNNNNNNNNNNNNNNNNNNNNNNNNNNNNNNNNNNNNNNNNNNNNNNNNNNNNNNNNNNNNNNNNNNNNNNNNNNNNNNNNNNNNNNNNNNNNNNNNNNNNNNNNNNNNNNNNNNNNNNNNNNNNNNNNNNNNNNNNNNNNNNNNNNNNNNNNNNNNNNNNNNNNNNNNNNNNNNNNNNNNNNNNNNNNNNNNNNNNNNNNNNNNNNNNNNNNNNNNNNNNNNNNNNNNNNNNNNNNNNNNNNNNNNNNNNNNNNNNNNNNNNNNNNNNNNNNNNNNNNNNNNNNNNNNNNNNNNNNNNNNNNNNNNNNNNNNNNNNNNNNNNNNNNNNNNNNNNNNNNNNNNNNNNNNNNNNNNNNNNNNNNNNNNNNNNNNNNNNNNNNNNNNNNNNNNNNNNNNNNNNNNNNNNNNNNNNNNNNAGGAGGAGAUGACGGCGGUGAAGGGGGUGAAGGGGGUGAAUUCGGAGGGGCCGGCCGGGCGCGGGGGCUGCUGCUUGGGGGCGGGCCUGGGGUUAGGGUUAGGGUUUGAGGGGCGGGAGGAGGAGGUGGAGGCGGAGGGGGGAGGGCCGGAGCCGAGGACGUGGGAGGGGCCCUUGAAGGACGGGGCGGAGGAGGAGGUGACCUUCUUCAUGAGAUCCUUCAUCUUGUCCUUCAUCAUGGAGGCCGGCGGCGACGAGGUGUAGGCGGCGGAGGAGGAGGAGGAAGAAGAUUGGCGUGGACGGGGAGUAGACUUGGUGGUGGUUGUCUUGUCUCCGCGGGGUUCGUUCGAGGGGAAGAAGCAACGCGAGGGGGGCGAAUUGAUAAAGAAGGAAGAGCUACGGAAGUACGGAGGUGGAGAUCCAGCUGGGAAAUGAAGCCGGGCAUCCGGCAAUGGUACUAGUAUGGUACUUCGCUGCCAAGGCAUCUUCGCCGAGUGGGCCGGGCCGCAGAGGGCCAACCACCAUGGCCCAUCGGGGCGGCUAUACUCGUGG